UACCAUAGAUAGAUAGAUAGAUAGAUAGAUAGAUAGAUAGAUAUGUUUCUUUAUUAGCCACACAGGGCUGCACACAGACGGGACAAAUUACAAGGUAGAGCUUUUCUUUUGAAUGUUUAAAAAAAAAAAAAAAAGGUAAGGGGGAGUUUCGAUCAAAGGGAUCGUAAAAGGAGAGAAGGAGGACAAAAAAAGGGGGUUAAAAAAAGGGGGAGAGGAAAAAAAAAAAAAAAAAAAAAAAAAUUGAUCAAUAGGGAUCGUUAUCACAGAAAUGUCAAUAUGAAGUGUAAAGGGGAGGACAGGUGAGGUUUACACGUGGAAAGAAAAGCCUACGGAAAAGACCACGGUAACCUCGGUCAAUGAAGUCACAUUUUAUAUUUCUUUUUUUUUUUUUUUUUUUUUUUUUUUGCAAAUAAGCAACUCUCUGUUUUCGAUUUCUGGGUUCAUAGGACUAUGCUCAAGGUGGCUUCGUCAUUCAUACGUGCCAUUCUUGCUACAUUCACCCAUCUUUUUUAAAACAUUCGCUAGACAAAACUUGCUCUCUACUCUCACUUUCCUUUUCAAGUGGUACUUGAAGAAGUUGAUGAGAGAUUGACCAGAGAGGAAAGUGUUUGUCUCCAAUCCUUUCAGACGCGUCCACCAGAUACAUUCUUUCGCCAUAGCCACAAGGAUGAUGAAAAUAGCUCUUCCUUCCCGUUUGAAGGAAGGAGGCGUGACAAUAUUGACGAUAGACUCAGCUGAUAAACCGACUCGUCCCACACGUGACAGCAGUUGUUCGACAUAAGCCCACAGGUCGGAAAUUGUUGGACACUGAACGAGUGCGUGCAGAACGGUUUCGUCGCUCUCACCGCAUCUCGGGCAGGUCGGCCCCGUGUUUCUCGAGCCGUGUCUGUAGAGCUUAUCCCGAACGGGUAGCGCUUCUCGGUAGCACUGCCAGGCCAGGGAUCUCUGGAAGUUGUCCAUGGGCCCUGGCCCGAAAGUCGUCCUGAACAGGCGGGUCAGGUACUCCUCGUCGACGUCCAGGUUCGCCCCGAGCUCGUCGUCGUACCUCCCCUCCACUAAACCCCUAUAGAAUGCUUUGGUUGUGUUGAAGUCACUUACUAGAUAGAUAGAUAGAUAGAUAGAUAGAUAGAUAGAUAGAUAGAUAGAUAGAUAGAUAGAUAGACAGAUGGAUGGAUGGAUGAAUUGUAAAAUUCAGACGAAACUGCGUAACCGUUAACCUUUACUCAAAAAUCUAUGUAAAUUCAUGUAUUUCCAAUAAUCAAUCAGGUAUUAAACAUCGUUUGGUCUUUAAUUUUCGUUUGCUAUUAUAUAUAUAUUUGAAUAGAUUACGAGCUGUGUACCUAAGAUCAGAAUAAAACUGGAGAUUCCGUUGUAACCAAAAACAAAAAAAAUAAUUAUUCAUUAUAUAAUACAUAAUCUUUUAAUACGUAAUCUUUACAUGUGUUUCACUAGCGUAUAUUAGUAUGAUGUACGAUACUCGUUACAGAGGUGGCUAUAUGGUCACUUUUGUGAACUACCUGCAGGAUGUAUCUGCCUUCUAACUUAAGUCGGUAAUAAACAAUGGCUCUUGCGUAUAGAGUAACUACGCAACCCAUCAGUUUAACGACUAGUAUAUGCUAGUGAAACACGUGUAAAGAUUAUGUAAUUUAUGAUGUAAUAAUAAUUUUUAAGCGAAUCUCCAGUUUAUUCUAAUCUUGGUAUGCAUACAUGUAUAUAUGUCUGUAUGCACGUACAUAUAUAUAGUUAAAGGCGCGAAAUUGUAAUAAUCUUUUUGACGUUGACUGUAAUUAAGAUCGUUCCGCUGACCUCCCAGAAUAGGGAGGAGAGAGCCCUGUUUUCUCUCGGUAGUUGCUGUGGCGAAAGAAGUAGUAUGGAAGACGAAAGUGAAAGGAAUUUCGACAGGCAUGUUCAUCUCCAAUCUCGAGCUAAUCGACUUUUUCGUUUUCCACAUGAAACGGAAAAUAAGGCUGGAGAAGAAAUGCCUGUCGCAAGGUGUGUUUCGUAAAAGAUGUAAGCCUAUAGCAAGUGUGUUGCGAGUGAAAGAACCUGUUUAAUCGAGAAUGUAAAAAAGGAGAAAGCAAAGUCUUCAGUGUAAGUCUGUGGUUUGUGGGGUCGACCGCGUCCUCCGCUUCAGUUUUUGUUAAUCACUCAUUCUCUUUUAAUUGUAUAUAUUUUAAUUGUUUGUUUAUUCAUACGUUUCGUCUCAUUCGAUACCCUGACCCCAACGUUUGUUUUGUCUGUCCUCGUAUCGUCCCCUCUUUUUUUCAACUUCAUGGUUUAUAAAGAAAUUGACCGAUGAGAAAUAAGCUACGAAUUUCCUGUUUGAUAUGUUUUUAUAUUUCCGUUUGUUGUGUUUUUUGUUGAAUUGCUUUUAAAUGCGCGCGCUUGUGUGUGUGUACACGCGUGGCAGUCAUUUAGUUUAGAACACCACUUCCAUCUUUGUCGAUCAGCAGUCAAGAGAUCGGGAAAAAUAUUGGUUUCAGAUUUCGAGUACAAGCCCAGCAAUUUUAAGGGAGGUGAAAGUCGUUUACAUCGACUCUAGUGAUCAGUUAGCAUUCAUUUCAUCGAUCACGAAAUGAUGGAGGGCAAAGUCGAUUUCAACGGAAUUUGAAUUCAGAACGUAAAGACGGACGAAAUGCGAACAAUUCUUAUUUCUUUAUUGCCCACAAGGAGCUAAACACAGAGAGGACAAACAAGGACAGACAAACGGAUUAAGUCGAUUACAUCGACCCCAGUACAUAGCUGGUACUUAUUUAAUCGACCCUGAAAGGAUGAAAGCAAAGUCGACCUCGGCGGAAUUUGAACUCAGAACAUAACGGCAAACGAAAUACCACUAAGCGCUUCACUCGGCGUGCUAACGUUUCUGCCAGCUCGCUGCCUUCAAAGGGAAAAUAAUGACCUUGAGUCAUGAUCGCUUUGAGCUUUUUCGCUUUGCUCAUUUUUAAUUUUUUAAUUAUGCAAAAUACUCUAAGCCAUAGAUAUUUUUUCACUUUUUUUAUAUAUAUGUUUAUGUCUUAUGCCCACUGAUGAUGCCUAUUAAAAUAGAAACGUGUCCAAAGCCAGACUAUCUUUUCUUCUAUGGCAUAUCAAUUCCAGAGAAUUCUGAAUUUUCGGCAUUAUAUAUAUUCUUCUGAAAGAGAAGGUAUAAUGUUGAGAAUCCAUAUCAAUAAAUUGAUUUCAAAUUCUAGCACAAAGCCAACGAGUUCGGAGGACCCCAGUACUCAACUGGUACUUAUUCUCUCGACCUCGAAAGGAUGAAAGGCAAAGUCGACCUUGAAUUUUAACUCAGACAAUAAAGUCAGACGAAAUAUCGCUAAGCAUUUCGGUACGCGUGUUAACGAUUCUGCCUAUAUUACGAGACAUUCUUUAAAAGGCCUGGGACUUAUUCUAUCAGUUCUUUUGCUGAACUGCUAAGUUACAGGGAUAAAAACACGCCAACAUUAGUCGUGAAGUUGUGGUGGAGGACAAACACACACACACACACGACGAGCUUCUUUCAGUUUCCGUCUACUAAAUCCACUCACAAGGUUUUGGCAAACUCGAGGCUAUAGUAGAAAACUCUUGCCCAAAGUGCCACGCAGUGGGACUGAACCCGGAACCAUGUGGUCGGAAAGCAAGCUUCCUACCACAUCCACUCCUACCCCUAUAACCAAAUUACUUUUCAAUAUGAUUUGCUGUGGUUUGGUUAUUAGAAUUCUCAAAUUCUUUAAAUGUAAAUGUCUGGAACAUUAUCAGUUUAAUAAUAUCAAAAGCAUGUUAAGGCGGCGAGCUGGCAGAAUCGUUAGCACGCUGGACGAAAUGCUUAGCGGUAUUUCGUCUGCCGCUACGUUCUGAGUUCAAAUUCCGCCGAGGUCGACUUCGCCUUUCAUCCUUUCGGAGUCGGUAAAUUAAAUACCAGUUACGCACUGGGGUCGAUAUAACCGACUUAAUCUGUUUGUCUGUCCUUGUUUUCCCCCUCUGUGUGUAGCCUCUUGUGGGCAGUAAAGAAAUAGGUAUUUCAUCUGUCUUUACCUUCUGAGUUCAAAUUCCUCCGAGAUCGACUUUGCCUUUCAUCCUUUCGGAGUCGGUAAAUUAAGUACCAGUUACGCACUGGGGUCGAUAUAACUGACUUAAUCUGUUUGUCUGUCCUUGUUUUCCCCCUCUGUGUGUAGCCUCUUGUGGGCAGUAAAGAAAUAGGUAUUUCAUCUGUCUUUACCUUCUGAGUUCAAAUUCCUCCGAGAUCGACUUUGCCUUUCAUCCUUUCGGAGUCGGUAAAUUAAGUACCAGUUGCGAACUGGAGUCGAUCUAAUCGACUGGCCCGCUCUCCCAAAAAUUUCGGGCCUUGUGCCAAGAGUAGAAAAGAAUAUUAAAAGCAUGUUAUAUGUCAUGGUUGUUGUUGUUCCUGCUAGAAUAGUCUUAAGUUCUGAAUAGGCUGAGGCGAGGUUAUGUGGUUUCGAAAUGUUUCACAAUUACGUGAUUUCAGUUUCAGUCCCAAUACGUAGCAUCUUGGACAAGCAUCUUCUACUAGAGCAGCGGUUGUCAAAGUGGGUGGUGGCAGGUUCCAAGAGAGCGUUGAAGAAAAGUAAGGUGAUAGUGGGGUAGCGAUUCAUGUAAAAAGUGGGGCAAUAAUGGGUUUGAGAUUCGUUUAAAAACAACAAAAUGACGGGUUCAUUGGGUUAAGUUUUAUUUAUGAAAUACAAUUGCCUUGAAUUUGCUUCAGAAAGAGGUCUAUGUUCGUGAUGGUUAGUUGGGGUGGGGGUACUAGGAAUGUGGCCUGAGUGUCAAGGGGGGCGGUAGCCUGAAAAAGUUUGGGAACCACUGUACUAGAGUCUCGGGUCGACUAAUGUCUUGUGAGUGAAUUUGGUAGAUGGAAACUGAAAGGAGCCUGAUGUAAAUACAUACAUACGUAUGCACGUAUGUUUGUUUGUGUGUGUGUGUGUGUGUGUGUGUGUGUGUGUGUGUGUGUGUGUGUGUGUUUGUGUGUGUUUGUGUGUGUGUGUGUGUGUGUGUGCUUUUCGCAGGUUGGAAAGUUUCUAUCGAAGAUGCGUAUCGCCUUCACCUUCGAAACGCAGAGUAGAUGAAACCAUGGCGACUGAAGAAGGGGAAUUUUCCUUGUGUUAUUUGUCCUGUACUCUAUUUUUGUUGUUGUUUAAGAAAAAUGUCCAGUUCCUUGGUUUUGUGUUUAUGUUUUCGUUUUCAUUGUGUUCGAUGUUUUUUUGGUGUCCUGUACCCAUAUAUGCGUGUAUAUAUACAUGUAGAGGUAGGGACGUACAUAUAUGUAUGUAUAUAUGUAUAUGUUUUAUUUAUUAAUUUAUUAUUAUAUAUAUAUAUAUAUAUAUAUAUAUAUAUAUACACCCGCACACACAUAGAUCAUAGAUACAUGUAUAUACUCUUUACUCUUUUACUUGUUUCAGUCAUUUGACUGCCGCCAUGCUGGAGCACCGCCUUUAGUCGAGCAAAUCGACCCCGGGACUUAUUCUUUGUAAGCCCAGUACUUAUUCUAUCGGUUUUCUUUUGCCGAACCGCUAAGUGACGGGGACGUAAACACAGCAGCAUCGGUUGUCAAGCAAUACUAGGGGGACAAACACAGACACACAAACACACACUUACAUAUACAUAUAUAUACAUAUAUAUGAUAGUCUUCUUUCAGUUUCCGUCUACCAAAUCCACUCACAAGGCAUUGGUCGGCCCGGGGCUAUAGCAAAAGACACUUGCCCAAGAUGCCACGCAGUGGGACUGAACCCGGAACCAUGUGAUUGGUUAGCAAGCUACUUACCACACAGCCACUCCUGCGCCUAUAUAUAUAUCAUCAUCAUCAUCAUCAUCAUCAUCAUUUAACGUCCGCUUUCCCAUGCUAGCAUGGGUUGGACGGUUCAACUGGGGUCUGGGGAGCCCGAAAGCUGCACCAGUCCAGUCAGAUCUGGCAGUGUUUCUACAGCUGGAUGCCCUUCCUAACGCCAACCACUCCGAGAGUGUAGUGGGUGAUUUUAUGUGCCACCGACACAGGUGCCAGACGAGGCUGGCAAAACGGCCACGCUCGGAUGGUGUUUUUUAUGUGCCACCGACACAGGUGCCAGACGAGGCUGGCAGACGGCCACGCUCGGAUGGUGUUUUUUAUGUGCCACCGACACAGGUGCCAGACGAGGCUGGCAGACGGCCACGCUCGGAUGGUGUUUUUAUGUGCCACCGACACAGGUGCCAGAUGAGGCUGGCAAACGGCCACGAUCGGAUGGUGCUUGUUACGUGCCCACAGCACGGAGGCGAGUCGAUGCGGUACUGGCUACGGCCACGUUCGGAUGGUUUUCUUGUGUGCCACGUGCCACCGGCACUGGUACCACAAAGAUACAAAUUCCAUUGAUGUUCAUCUAUUUUGAUUUGUUUUGAUUUUCACUUGCCUCAACAGGUCUUCACAAGUGUCACAAGAAGGAAGGUAUGCACAGGUGGACUGACUACGUCCCAGGUAGGGGCUAUGGGUUAUGGCCUGACUAGUCUUGCCGGGUCUUCGGAUGGUGUUUUUAUGUGCCACCGACACAGGUGCUAGAUGAGGCUGGCGAACGGCCACAUAUAUAUAUAUAUAUAUAUAUGUGGCCGUUCCUCAGCCUCAUCUGGGGUUUGUAGUCCAUUUGGCGUCCGUCCAUUUCUAGCGUACAGGCAUUGUCACUUCAGCGACCUUCAUUAUAAUUUAUAUUUUUUAUAGUUAUACUUAAACGUGUGUGUGUGUGUAUUCAUAUAUGAUUGUGUGUUUCUUGUAGAAAGAGUGUCACCGUCAAGAUUUGCUACUAGUUUCCAAUCUUUCAGAAGGGGAAAUAUUACUUUGCUUGGAAAUAAGUGAGGGUUGGCGACAGGGAGUGUCUCAAUGGGUAGAAAACCUGUCUCAACGAGUUGCGUCUGCCUCAUGCAAACGUGGGAAAAUGGAUGUUAAAACAAAGAGGAAAGAAAAAACAGUGGUUGAAAGAACUAAUAAAACAUUCCUUUGAAGUGUUAUCAUCUCCUCCAUAAAUUCAUUGUGGAGACAAUAGUUUUGGAUUUACACACAAGCUAACAGUUCCGGUGAGAGGGGGAAUUAGUCGAUACUGUGAACCUCAAUACUUGACUGGGGAUUUAUUUUACCGACCCAGGGUGGGGGAGAAUGAACGGCAAAAGUUGGCAAAAGUUGACCUUGGCUAGAUUUAAACUCAGAAUGUAAGGAAUUGAAAUAAAUACUGGACUUUUUAUUUCCUACGCUAGGGACAAGGCCCGAAGUUUUGGGAGAGGGUCCAGUCGAUUAGAUCGAUCCCAGUACGCAACUGGUACUUAAUUUAUCGACCCCAAAAGGAUGAAAGGCAAAGUCGACCUAGGCAGAAUUUGAACUCAGAACGUAAAGACAGACGAAAUACCUAUUUCUUUACUACCCACAAGGGGCUAAACACAGAGAGGACAAACAAGGACAGACAAACGGAUUAAGUCGAUUAUAUCGACUCCAGUGCGUAACUGGUACUUAAUGUAUCCACCCCGAAAGGAUGAAAGGCAAAGUCGACCUCGGCAGAAUUUGAACUCAGAACGUAAAGACAGACGAAAUACUGCAAAGCAUUUCGUCCAGCGUGCUACUGUACUUUUUCUAACACUCUAAUGGUUAUGCCUCUUUGCAUAAUUCGUAUUUUGUAUUUCACACUUGCGCUGGCUGAAUUAUGCAAAAUGUUAGAGAAAACAACUUGUUUCUUGAAAAUACAUAUGUCUAAAGCAAAAUUUUUUCAUGGACACUUUAAAUACUUCUGUGGGCCCCCAAUUUACUAUUUUACUUGUGUAGACACCCACAAAAUCUUACAUGGACCCUCAGGGAUCAUGUGAGCCCCAGUUAAGAACCAUUGAUUCAGACGAAUGAAUGAGUUAAGCAGCAACGGGAACCAACACCACCAGGGCAAACUGGAUGACUUACUUGUACUUGUGACGGCGUUCACCCAGGGCGGUUUGAGCCGGCUUCUUCUAUGGUCCUGACGACAUCACGAGCCAUGGCGGCCCUCGCUCGACGGUCCUGUGCGAGGUCACUGGAGAUAGUGAGCCAUUCUCGGUUCCAUCUGCGCAGACCGACUACCUGCGGACCUGAGAGGUCGGAGAGGUCCUCCUUUAUCGUCGUUGUCCAGGUCUUCAGCUGCCCACCCAUGCAUUUGCGCCAGUUGGGAAGUGGAGGUGGGAGGAGGACAUCGCGAAUCAGCUCACCCUCUGGAUGUCGGGCCGCAUGACAGAACCACCUUAAGCGCCGUUGUAGAAGCACCGAAGGGAGGGGCCGGAGAUUCAGGCGACGACGUAGACCGGCUGUAGGAACGCGAUCAAUGCAUAGGCAUCAAACUGGAUAAGCAAUGAAAUAAACAACCCUUAUAUAACAAGCUAUAUUGCUUAUCUCUUAGCAAUCAUAGCUUGUUACACUUAUCUACACUUCCGUUCCAAGGUUUUAGAUUGCGCAAAUUCCUACGCAUACACUCAAUUAUUCGUUCCAAUUCCAAUUUACUCCUCUCAGCCAAUGAAUUCUUCCUGAUUUAAUAUUUCUUUACAGCAAUGUUUUCGAUGGCAUCGCUAUCUUUUACUAGUUUCAGUCAUUAGACUGCGGCCAUGCUGAAGCACCGCCUCGUAAAAUUUCUAGAACACCGCCUUGAAGGAUUUUUAGUCGAAUGGAUUGACCCCUGUACAUUUUGUUAAAGCCUGGUACUUUUUCUGUCGGCUAUUUUAGCCGAGUUGCUGAGUUACGGGAACGUAAACACACCAACACCAGUUGUCAAGCAGUGGUGGAAGAGAAACACAAACAUAAAAACUCAUACAUACACACAUGUAUAGAUAGAUAGAUAGAUAGAUAGAUAGAUAGAUAGAUAGAUAGAUAGAUAGAUAGAUAGAUAGAUAGAUAGAUAGAUAUGUUUAUUAGCCACACAGGGUUGCACACAGACGGGACAGAUUACAAAGUAGAGCUUUUCUUUUUUGGUGAGAAAAAAAGCGGGGUAGGUUUUCAAUCAAAAGGGGGUCGUAAAAGGGAUAGAUAGGUAGGUAGAUAGAUAGACAGACAGACAGACAGAUAGAUAGAUAGAUAGAUAGAUAGAUCUCUUUCAGUUUCCAUCGACAAAACCCACUCACAAGUCUUUGGUCGGCCCAAGAUGCCACACAGUGGUACUGAACCCGGAACCAUGUGGUUGGCAUGCAAGGUUUUUACCACCCAGGCAAGCCUACGCUAACAUUUAUUCAUUCCCAGGAUUAAACUUUCAUUCACUUCAUUCACAUAUUUCUUCGCCACGUAUAACUCAUAUUCGAUGGCUAAUUAUCAACAAUCCAAACAUCUUCGGAUAUUCUUUUAUUAAUGUCCAGUUUCCAAAAGAAUUUUUCCAUAAAAUUAAUUUUACGUUGGUAAAUAUCCGGAAUUAGCCAUUUGGUAUAUGUAGUUAGAAAUUAUACUCUGGAGGCAAUACUUAAUAAUCGAUUUUCUAUAUUCUUCUAGGUUUUAUAAUGAAAUUGAUAUAACUAACAAAAGGUUCAUGUUUCAUUUCGUUUCAAUUUAUUUUCGUUUUGUAUAAUUCAAUGACUUUCUAUUGAUAAUCGUAUUCGACAUGAUUAUCAUGUGUGUGUGUGUGUGUGUGUGUGUGUGUGUGUGUUUUUCGUGUGUGUGUUUUCGUGUGGUUUUGUGGAAACAAGUGCUUGUCUUAGACUAUCCUUCCUGGCGCAACAGAAUCGUCACACAUUUUUUUCCAUCUUAAACUGGAUGUCAGCCUAAUAUAUUCACUGUGUACAUCCUUUUGACUUUUCUUGCUUUUAUUUUCAUUUGUAUUUUCGAUUUACCUCUCAGCCGAAAUUGCGAGGAUGAUCCGGUUCUUGACUGAAAAUUGAAGGCUUCGAAUCUCCCGCCCGUGUUUUUUGUAUCGUCUUCAAAAGGUUUUGCGUUCUUGUCCCGGUUUGUAUUUUUUUUUACAUAUAUAUAUAUAUAUAUAUAUAUAUAUAUAUAUAUAUAUAUAUAUAUAUUAUUAUUAUUAUUAUUAUUAUUGAAUGGAAGAAAUGGAGUUGAACGAAGAUUGUACAGAAUUCCUUUUAUUACAUUCUACACAUGUUUCAAAGGCCACAAAUUCGAAUUGCUGCGCCUCUGUUCUGUUUUGUUCUGUCAACGGAAUUCCUGUUUUUUCCUGAUGAGAAAGCCACAAUAUGGUACCCUUAUUUAAUCAGAAUUUGGAAAUUUGUGGCCUUUGAAACAUGUGUAGAAUGUAAUAAAAGGAAUUCUGUACAAUCUUCGUUCAACUCCAUUUCUUCCAUUCAAUAAUAAUAUUAAACUUCAAUUAUCCGCACCAACGCACGGUUGCAACACCAAAUGGUCUUAUCUCCAACCGUGUAUUUUCUGCUGUGAUUUUUGCUACCCAGGUAUCGGUUAAACUUUUGAAUAAUCUGUAACAAGAAAAUUCAUCUUUCUAUUUCAACAAAUAUAUAUAUAUAUAUAUAUAUAUAUAUAUAUAUAUAUAUAUAUAUAUAUAUAUAUAUAUAUACAUACAUAUAUAUAUCGGAUAUUUACCAACGUAAAAUUAAUUUUAUGGAAAAAUUCUUUUGGAAACUGGACAUUAAUAACAGAAUAUCCGAAGAUGUUUGGAUUGUUGAUAAAUUGCCAUCGAAAUAUGAGUUAUACGUGGCGAAGAAAUAUGUGAAUGAAGUGAAUGAAAGUUUAAUCCUGGGAAUGAACAAAUGUUAGCGUAGGCUUGCCUGGGUGGUAAAAACCUUGCAUGCCAACCACAUGGUUCCGGGUUCAGUACCACUGUGUGGCAUCUUGGGCCGACCAAAGACUUGUGAGUGGAUUUUGUAGAUGGAAACUGAAAGAAGUCCAUACAUCUAUCUAUCUAUCUAUCCAUCUAUCUAUCUAUCUAUCUAUCUAUCUAUCUAUCUAUCUAUCUAUCUAUCUAUCUAUCUAGUAUAUACGCAGUGAAGCUAUACAAUAGCGUCGUAUUUAUUACGAUUGCUAUUUUCCAGUAAAUAUCGGUGCCUCGUUGUACCAUUUAUUUACUUAUAUAUAUAUAUAUGUGUGUGUGUGUGUGUGUGUGUGUAUGUGUGUCCUUUUCUUGUAUCACCUAACUGUCUGGAUGUUUUGCGUCCUUGUCCCAUUUUGUAUUUUUAUAUAUAUAUAUAACGGCGUACGUACAUUUUGGUCUCUUAUAUGUAAGUACAUAUUUAUCUAAAUCUUGUACCACUCUUUCUUUUAUUCUUUUAUUCUUCCCUUCUUCGUUCUUUGGUUUCCCCUCUCUCACAUUUCAUUGCUUUCUCUUCAGGCUCACUUUCCCUCCUCCUUUCACUUCACCGUGUCCCUGUCAUUUUUUCUCGCUCCUCCUUAUUUCUUCUGUACCCAUGCCUCUACCUCUCUCUCUCUUCUCCCCCACGUGACCGGUGUUCAGCCAAGCUUGACCUUUCUUUCUUAGUUCGGCCGUUGUCCGUGCAACAUCUAUAUUCCUCCCUGUGCUUGUGAAAUCUUGUAUCCCUGCCGUAAGGCUUUACUUCCUCACACGCCAGCUUAAUUUGAUUCGUCUUUUGUUGAAAGACACUUGUUGUUAUGUCCUGUUAUUUGUAUUUGUGUAACUCGCUCCGUUUCUUCAGUCCUUGUUUUCGUAUACAUUCGCUGCUUUCUUCCAAGGAAUCUAAUGCUCUUAGCUUAGUUUUUCCUUGGAAGCAAUCUCGUGAAUAACCAGCCGAAAUUGCAAAGAUAAUCGGGAACUCGACCGAGGAAAGAGAACUCCGAAUGACCCGUCCUUGUUUUCUUUGUAUCGUCUAUCUGGUGUUUUGUUGUCCCUUUCUUGUAUCACCUAACCGUCUGGAUGUUUUGCGACCUUGUCCCAUUUUGUGUGUAUAUAUAUAUAUAUAUAUAUAUAUAUAUAUAUAUAUAUAACAGAUCCAUCCAACUGAUGUUGGAUGUGUCGAGAUUGAUAUAAGAAAUCUUACCUGUUUAAAGUUUUACCUGUUUAAAGUUUUACCUGAUGAGGUAAUCUUCUACAGAUACAUUAAUAAAUUCUACCGAAACAGUUGUAAAUUUUAAACGCUAUUCGUGCUUACCAUAUAUAUAUAUAUAUAUGAAACAAGGUUUGAAACUUUUUUAGAAAAAGAUUGUCAAAAGUAACAUGUAAAAGCUUUGUUGUGUUAGGUACUGGUUGUCACAAAAUCUUACAAUACAUAUAUACAUUCUUUGAUAAUAAUAAGAAAAUGUUUGAAACAGUUUAUAAAAAAAAUUAUUUAAAAGUUCAUAAAGAAUAUUGGGAUUUCAUUAGAAAUCAUGUUUGUUUGGAAGUAUCUAUAUAUAUAUACACAGAAAAUUAUAAGUUCAAAAAGGUCAUAUUUUGGUAUUAUAUAUAUACACAGAAAGAGAUAUAUUUAGUUUACAAAGAAUUUGGGAUGAACUGACUUGUUUCACCUAUUAUCAAAGAAUGUAUAUAUGUAUUGUAAUCUUUUGUGCCUAAUAUUUUAAUGAACUUUUUAAUUUUUUAAUAUUUUCCCAAGAUUUCUCCUUGUAAACUGUUUUUAACAUUUUCUUAUUAUUAUCAAAAAAUGUAUAUAUGUAUUGUAGUAUUUUGUGACAACCAGUACCUAACACAACAAAGCUUUUACAUGUUUCUUUUGACAAUCUUUUUCUAAAAAAAGUGAAACCGGUCAAGUUAAUAAACAUCUUUUACAAUUGCAUUUUCAAACUUCUUUCAUAUGCAAUUCCACUCGUGCGGUACCUUACAACUUCACUUUGUUAUAUAUAUAUAUAUAUAUAUAUAUAUAUAUAUAUAUAUAUAUAUAUAUAUAUAUAUAUAUAUAUAUAUAUGUAUGUAUGUGUGUGUGUAUGUAUGUAUGUAUGUAUGUAUGUAUGUUGCAUGGUCGGGUCGUCGGCGACUAAACCGGCAACCCCAACAAACUUGCUUGGUGAGGAGGGUGUUUAUUGGUCACCCUGCGGGAUAAAAAAACAAAACCCGUCAAAGGGCGGAGGAACUCUUAAGAGUCAACAGCCAUCCAAUAAAUGUCUUAAGGCUGCAUCAUGCGCGGGGACAUAGAAAUAAUCGGACUGAAUACUCGAUCGCGCGGUUAAACCAUUGGGAGUGAAGGAUUCCUAGCCUUUGUUAGGGCAUCCUUCUAGGAGAAGGUAACUCAGGUAACUGGGAUAACUCCGACAUAAAAUCUGCGGCUCAGUGGUUACCGAUGAUGUUGACUUGUUCUUCUUUUCGGAUUAUGGCUGCUGUUGCUUAGUGAGUGGGAUUGACUCAGUGCACAGCCUUUCCCCACUUUAAAAAUAAUCUUCUUGCACAGGCAUUGCACGAUAACAACGUUGAUUAAGCUUCGUGCAAUGGCCAUACUCGAUAACGAGGGGUCAGCCAUCAUGUAUGAAUAUGUGCAGAUUUGUAUGUUUUGCUUUAUGUAUGUAUUCCCAUGCCUAUAGUUGCAUAUCUAGACAUGCUCAUAUAUAUUUAAAUGUUUGACAUAGAAUCAGCUUUCUCCUUGUUGUAUGUUGUAUGCCUGUCAUUAUUCAGUUUAUUUCAAGAUUUCUUACCAAUAGAGAAAGAACCGGUUUCUAACCAAGAUCUAAGGCUCCUUAAUUGGAAUUUCAACAUAAACAACUGGGUAUGUUUGUAUGUAUGUAUGUAUGUAUGUAUGUAUGUAUGUAUGUAUACAUGUAUGUAUACAUGUAUGUAUGUAUGUAUGUAUGUAUGUAUGUAUACAUGUAUGUAUACAUGUAUGUAUGUAUGUAUGUAUGUAUGUAUGUAUGUAUGUAUGUAUGUAUGUAUGUAUGUAUGUGAGUGUGUAUAUGUAUGCAUGUAUGUAUAUUUUAUAUGCCGAUUUGUAUAUUUUAUUUAUGUAUUUUCAUGCAUACAGUUGCAUAUUACUGAUUUUUACAGUUCCAGUGAUUGAUUGCUUCUGUAGUCUUCGAAUUAGCUUUCACCUUUUAGGUUUUGAGAAGCCUAAUUUCUCAAGAUUGGUAUUUAAGCAGUGUAUUACACAUCCCCAAGCCCCAAUAAUUAUAGGUAUAAACCUAUAUCUGGAUAUAUUUCUCAAUAGUUCAGCAUUUUCCUUAGUUUAUUAAUAUAUAUAUAUAUAUAUAUAUAUAUAUAUAUAUAUAUAUAUAUGUAUAUUAUAAUACUAGCUGAAGGUGACCCGCUCUACGCGCGGGUAAGAGUGUGGUUGUUACUUUCUGUUGCUUCCUUUCAGCACGUAAAAAGCACCAUCCGAACGUGGCCGAUUGCAGUGCCGCCUUGACUUGCUUCUGUGCCGGUGGCACGUAAAAAGCACCAACCGAUCGUUGCCGCUGCGAGCCCCCUGGCACCUGUGCCGGCGGCACGAAAAAAGCACCCACUACACUCACAGAGUGGUUGGCGUUAGGAAGGUCAUCCACCUGUAGAAACACUGCCAGAUCAGACUGGAGCCUGGUGCAGCCUCCUGGCUUCCCAGACCCCGGUCACACUGUCCAACCCGUGCUAGCACGGAAAACGGACGUUAAACGAUGAUGAUGAUGAUGAUUCUCCGUCUUUGUUUCUCUCUCCUUUCUCUCUCACUUUCCCACUCUCUUACUUUUCUUUUCUCUCGGACUCUCCCUCGCUUUCUCUUACUCUCUAUCUUUAUCUAUCUCUCUCCCAUUUAUAAACAACAGAAGAUCUUGAGUAAGUUGAGAAAUAAAAUAUUUAGAAAGAUCAAUCAUAAAUAUCAGGCAGUGGCAACGGAAAGGUCUGCUUCAAGGCAGACAGCAAAACGCUAACAUUUAAAAGGGACAGACGAACUUGCGAGCUGAAUAAAAAUAAUAAAAUAUUGGAAACCAAAGUUUGAAGGGAUAGAAUCUGAGGAUAGUAGAGUCACCAUGGCUGGCAUUUCUUAACGACGGACAGCAACGUAUUGACAGUUUAACGGCUGGCGUAAAAUUUUGAACUUGAUGUAAAAGAAAAUUCGUAAACACCAAGUUUUGAAGUGAUUCUUUCUCACGACAGUAGACUCACCAUGGCAAGCAUUCAAAACUUCUUUAUCAUGGACGGCAACACAUUGACGAUUAAAAGGCUGGCGCAAAUUUUUUAGCUUGAUGUAACAGAGAAUUCCUAAACACCCGCUCCUUUGAAAUUUUAAUCCCCUUCCAGCCCCAUUUAGACCCCUUUUCACAUUUUGGUUAAUAUAACCCGAUUUCAUUCGGGUCUACUGGGGCCACAUUUUAUAAGAUGAGGAAUUUUGUCCUAGAGGUGACGCCUUUCAUUUGAGGAAAAAAAUAGUUGUCAUGCAAACUUGCCAGCACUUUUAACAUAGGUGUGCAUAUUUUCAGCUGAAUCGACCGACUACGUAAUGCAUACAUUAUAUAUAUAUAUGUGUAUAUAUAUAUAUAUGUGUGUGUGUGUGUGUGUGUGCACGCAUUAUAUAUACAAAUGUAUACAAAUGAGAUAUAUAUCUGUAUAAAUUAAAUUAGAGAUAAAACCACUAAUAGGCAAAUCAAACAGUGAAAAACCAAAAACAAAAACAUUAAAAAAAAAAUAUAAUAUAGAAAAUAUAUAAAAUAUAAAAUUGAAAAAUUUAAAUUAUUUAAAUUGAAAAUAAAAAUUAUUAAAUUAUAUUUAUAAUUUGUUUAAAAAUAUAUAUAACUAUGAAAAAGUAUGAAAAAGUUUAAUAUACAUAAAUACAGAUAUAUACACUUUGUAUAUAUACAUUAUAUAUACAUAUUUAUAUAUAGAACACACACACACACACACACAUUAUAUAUACAUAUUUAUAUAUAGAACACACACACACACACACAUUAUAUAUACAUAUUUAUAUAUAGAACACACACACACACACACAUACAUUAAUAUACAUAUUUAUAUAUAGAACACACACACACACACACACAUAUAAAUGAACGCAAGAAUAUCUGAUUCAUAAUAUUUGUUCUCAUGCUCGUGUGUUGUUGGUGACAGACAGAUACAUAAAAGAACGCCGAAGUGAUGGGAAGGUAGGAAACAGAGUGAGUGAAAAAGAGAGGAAAUAGCGAGAGUGAGUUUAGGAAGACAGAUACUUUAAAUAACGGUAGUGGAAUUGUCAAAGUUAUACAUGAAGGGGAGUGAGAGGGGAAUGUAGGAAAUAGCGUGAGUAAGGAAGAUGGCCCCUAGCAACCACACCUUUUAAGAUAUGGAUUUCUAAGGUAGCCCACGGGCAUUGUCACCUCAUUCCACAUGUCCCUGUAAAUUUUGGAGCGAAUCGGACGGGACGUAGUGGCAUUGAAAGCGAUCCAAGCGGUAAAAACGCAUUUCAGUUUUAUAUAUAGAGAUAGCAUAAUAUACUAUGAAUAAAAUAUACCAUGAUAUAACAUUAAUUAUUAAAACAUCAAAAGACUAACAAUUUAUUUCGACUUAUAUACAUUUUUUAUAUAUAAACAAUUCGGAUCUUUUCCUUCUGAACGGCAGUUUUCAACACAAUUUCUAGUUAACUAAACACUUUUAAACUUCGUAUAUUGGUAGAAUGUGUUUACAAAACAUCAUUUUUUUCUUGGUUUUAUUGAGACAAUUCUAUUUGAUCGAGCUUUUCGGCAAUUUUAACCAGUCAAAUACGUCCAUUUGGAGUCAAAACAUACCGUGCUGUAUGAAAAUGUCCUCGUUUAAGAAACAGAUUGGGUCUAUUUACAUUUGCGAAGAAAAAAGAUACCCUUCCCCCACCCCUAACCCUAAAAUAGAUUGAAAUGCAAUAGAUCGAUACUAGGCCAUAAUUAUGGGUGACAAUUUCAUACGACACAUCGCUUAGAAAUAAAUCUAAUUUUGCGUAGCGGUGUCGUAUGAAAUUGUCACCCAUAAUUAUGGCCCAAGUAUAGAUCUAUUGCAUUUCAAUCUAUUUUAGGGUUAGAUUUAGUUAGAGUUAUGGUUAGGGUUAGGGGUGGGGGAAGGGUAUCUUUUUUUCUUCGCAAAUGUAAAUAAACCCAAUCUGUUUCUUAAACGAGGACAUAUUCAUACAGCACGGUAUGUUUUGACUCCAAAUGGACGUAUUUGAUUGGUUAAAAUUGCCGAAAAGCUCGAUUUUAAAGUGGAAAUAUGUUACAACGUAUUGAAUUUACUCAAUAAAGCCAAGAGAAAAAGAUGUUUUAUAAACACAUUCUACCAGUAUACGAAGUUUAAAAUUUUUUAGUUAUCUAGAAAUUAUGUUAAAAACUGCCGUUCAAACCGAAAAGAUCCGAUAUUUGUUGGGUUUUUUUCUUCAAUUUCUGCAAUUUCAACCAAUCACUGACGUCUAUUGAGGUAAUUAACAUUUUGUGCCGUAUGAAUAUGUCCCUCGUUUAAGAAACAGAUUGGGUUUAUUUACAUUUGUGAAGAAAAAAAGAUACCCUUCCCCCCACCCCUAACCCUAACCCUAAAACAGAUUGAAAUGCAAUAGAUUGAUACUAGGGUCAUAAUUAUGGGUGACAAUUUCAUAUGAUACCGCUAGAAAAAAACUGCCGUUCAAACCGAAAAGAUCCUUACUAUUUUUUUUAGAUGUAACCGGAUUUGAAGUUGCUUAAAUAAAGAUUAGUAUUUGUGUAUUAUGGGAGGGAGAACUCUGUAAAAAAAUUAAGUAAUAAAAACAAAGUAUUAAGGAAUGCUCACGAUAAAACAAUUAAUAUUAUUAUUUUAAGAUUAAAUGAUUAUAGAUAGUACAUAUCCAAAUUUUAUUAAUUCUUUCAGAAUUAACAAAAUAAUAAUGCAAGUUAUCUUUAUAUAUAAAAUUGAAGUUGUGUGUGUGAGACUCUGUCUCCACCGAUUUAGAUUCCUAACUACUCCCACAUUUUGCGGUGCAGUUUAACCAAAAGCGGGUGUCUUGUAGUUGUCAUUCAUAUCGAGCCCUUCUGGGUAUUAGCGCACGUCUACGAUGAGUCUACGAUUUAAAAAAAAUUUACCAUGAUUUUCCGCAUUUUUAAUAAUUUUUGCUCGGGUUAUAUAAGGGAAGUAACUCUCAAAAAUGCUUAUAUAGUUAUUUCCCUUACAAACCCGAGCAACGCCGGGCGAUACUGCUAGUAAACUAUACAAUAGUAGUUAUUUUAGUUAUUAAAUUUAUUAAUUAAAUCAAAUAAAACUAUUUGGGGGUAAAAAAAAACAAAGAAAAGUCUUUGGCUGAUCGUUUCAUAGUUUGUUGACCGCUCAUCAGAGAAGUCGGACCCGAUUUCCUUCUCCAAUUAAUAAUAUGAAACAUUCAACUCUUAUAUAAAGAAGUGAGAAACUGAUCUUUUCCUGCAAACUUAAUUUACAUAUUUGUGCUUUAGACGGAUAGUUAUUAAUUAAACAGUGUCUAUUUUAUGCGCAACAUAGCAUGAAUCAGAAAAACUGAAGUAAAUUUAUUAGAAAUCCUCGUUGUGAAUGGAAAAUAUAAGAAUGUAAAUUUUCAUUCCUUUUUUAUGCUUUUGAUAUGCGGGAAAAAAGGUGAAAACUUCUGACGAACCAUUUUGCAGUUCAUUGACUGCUCUUCAGAAGAGAUAUACCUGAUUUUCUUCACCAAUCGAUAGCACAGGUUAUUCAGUUGCUAAAUAAAGUUGUCAUGAAUUGAACUAUCGCCAGAGCAGAUAAUCUAAUUUGCAUAAGUGUUCUUUAGACGGCAUAUCAUGAAUUAAGCAGUGUAUAUUAUGCAGUACACUGUGAGAAUCAAAGGGACUGAAAAAGCCUAGCUUUUAUAGGAAAUUAAUGUAAUAUAAACAAUUUAGUACAAUACUUUUGAUGCAUGGUAAAAAGGAGUCCUGGCGGACUGUUUCACCGUUAGUUGGCCACUCCUCAGGGAAGAUAUAUCUGAUUGCCCUCCACAUUUGAUAGCAUAGAAUAUUGAGGUAUGAUAUAAAGCAUUUAGAAAUUAAUCUGUUACCCUAGGAACAAGAUUAGUUUGAAUAUUUGCAUUCUAAUAUUUGAAUUAAAUUUACGCUCUGUUGUACAUAAUAUAUAUAUAUAUAUAUGUAUGUAUGUAUGUAUGUAUGUAUGUAUGUAUGUAUGUAUGUAUGUAUGUAUGUAUGUAUGUAUGUAUGUAUGUAUGUAUGUAUGUUCGUAUGUAUGUAUGCAUGUAUGCAUGUAUGUAUGUAUGUAUGUAUUGUUUAAGUACUACACGAAUAUACAAGUUAAGCUUUUUACUUAUACCUAACCACUUCCGUAGCAGUAGCCAAAACGUGAGAGCUUCAAACAAAAUAUGUCUGAUGUCAUACCUUUCUUUUCUCUUAGAAUGUACCAGAACAUCAACAACAGCAACAAUGCUAUAAUAAAUUAAAAUGCGUGUUUGUAUGUGUGUGUGUGUAUGUGCUUGUCUCUCUGUGCGUGUGGAAGGGGUACGUUUCGUUGAACAAGUAUGAUAAAUAGAACUCAAUACAUGAAUAUGAGAAUAUAUAUAUAGUGUGUGUGUGUGUGUGUGUGUGUGUGUGUGUGUGUGUGUGUUAGUGUGUGUAUGUACACUCACCACACAUACACACAUACACAGAAAUUGUUAUGUUAGAAAGCGUAAGCCAUGUUUGAUCUUACAACACCCGUCUAUGUCACUUAUGACGCUGAUAGAUAUCUCUGGCUUGACACAGAAGAGACUUUCUACUUUGUUAACACUGACAUUACACCUACACGUCUAUAAGCAGUAAAUAUAUCUUGUCAAAGUUAACAAGGCUGAAUGUAAAAUGUGGAAUGUGUAAAGUAGCCGAUAUGUUUCGUUGUAUCUAUUUGUAAUAAUAUGUCUAUUAUUGCCACAAUAAUUUUUCUUUUAUCUCUUAAUUGUUUUAAAGUCAUUGGAUUUGCGGCCAUGCUGGGGCAUUGCCUUGAAGAGUUUUAGCUGAACGAAUUGAUUCCAGUACUUUGUUUCUUUUAAACCUGUUGCUCAUUUGAUCGGUCAUCUUUGCUGAACUGUUAAGUUAUGGAGACGUAAACAAACCUCCACUGGUUGUCAAGUGGUGGUGGUGAUGAUGGGACAAGCCCAAACCCAAACACACAUAGAUACACAUAUAUAUAAACACAAAUGUUUGCACACACACACACGCACGCACACACACACACACACACAUAUAUAUGUAUACAUAUAUAGAAGUAUGUGUGUAUGUAUAUAUGUAUGUAUACAUGUGUGUAUGUAUGUAUGUAUAUAUAUAUAUAUAUAUACAUACACUUACAUAUAUACAUAUAUAUAUUUGUCUGUAUAUAUGUAUAUAUAUCAUCAUCAUCAUCAUCAUCAUCGUUUAACGUCCGUUUUCCAUGCUAGCAUGGGUUGGACGGUUCUACUGGGGUCUGUGAAGCCAGAAGGCUUCAUCAGGCCCAGUCAAAUCUGGCAGUGUUUCUACGGCUGGAUGCCCUUCCUAACGCCAACCACUCUGUGAGUGUAGUGGGUGCUUUUUACGUGCCACCCGCACAGGUGCCAGACAGCGCUGGCAAACGGCCACGAACGGAUGGUGCUUUUUAUGUGCCACCGGCACGAGGGCCAGGCGAGGCUGGCAACGGACACAAACGGAAGGUUCUCUUACAUGCCACCGGCACUGGUAACACAUCUGCAAUUUCCAUUGAUCGAUUUCGAUUCUGAUCCUCACUUGCCUCAACAGGUCUUCACAAGUAGAGUUUUGUGUCCCAAGAAGGGAAAGUAUGCAUACGUAGGCUGGCUCCAUCCCAUGUAGAAGGCCACGGGUUAUGGACUCACUUGUUCUGCCGGGUCUUCUCGCGCACAGCACACUUCCAGAGGUCUCGGUCUCUAGUCAUUUCCUCAGUGAGACCUAAACUUCGAAGGUCGUGCUUCACCAGCUCGUCCCAGGUUUUCCUGGGUCUGCCUGUGUAUAUUUAUUUACAAACACACAAACACACACACACACACAUAUAUAUAUAUAAUCACAUAUAUAUAUUUAUAUGUAUGUUGGUACAUACAUAUGUAUAUAUGUAUAUACGACAGAUUCCUUUCAGUUCCUAUCAACCAAACCAAAUCAGAUGCUGAAGGCAUGGGAUAUGUUGGCCCAAGGAUAUAUAAUAAACGAUUUUCUCAAGAUGGCUCACAGUGGAGUUGAACCUGAAAUUAUAUGGUUGGGCAGUAAGCUUCUUUACCACACAGUCAUGCUUUAAAUUUUGACUGUAUCUGGAAAGCAUGUAUUUUCAUAUAACCUUUCUUCAAUAUUAUUAUGUUGGUUUCUGGUAUUACUGCAAUCAAGCCCAUGAGUGGUUUGUUUUAUUUUCUUUUAUGCUUACCUCACAGGUCUGGAAGGUAGGGCAGUGGUACUUCUAGCUGUCACAGGUCCUCGAAGACCAGUGAGCGAGACACCAUUAAUGUUCCAUUUAAACUAUUGCAAGUCAACACCUGAAGGUAAGACAUGAGCGCGGAAGUAAUUCCAGACAUAUUGGAGAGGAAGGUAUGAGAUAAAUGGUUCAUGUAGGCUUCAGGGUUUUGGGGGCAAAAACCAUGUGUGAUAAUAGGAGAAAAGAUGCAACAUCCGUUCUACAUUCUUCCAUCGAUUUUCAAACAUUUUUACAGUCAGGCAUUUUCUCUCCAACCCUAUCUUCCUUUUAAGGUGAAAGGUGAAAUAAUUCACCAAGUUACGGCCGGGGAUGAAAGUGCCCGACUUUAAUCCUUUCAGCCUUGUCUUCCAAAUCACCUCUCUCGCAAUUUCUACUACAAUGAGAAAACAAUUCUUACCUUCUUUCGAAAGGAAAUCAGGUGGAUCAAUUUUUACUAUAGAUUCAGUCAAUAGCUGUACUCUUCGAGUACUUGACAACAGUUGUUCGGCAUAAACCCACACAUCUGACACCUCCGAACACUGAACAAUGGCAUGCGGGACGGUUUCCCUAUCCCGCUCACAUAUUGAACAGGUUCAAGGGCUGCUGCCUCCAUGCCUUGCGAGCUUAUCCUGAACAGGUAAGGCUCCUCAGUAACACUGCCAUGCUAGAGACUUCUGAAAGUUGUCCAGGGUCUUCGGCCCGAAUGUACGUCGGAACAGACUGGCCAGCUGAUUAUUGUCAAGACCUAGGGUCUCUCCCAAGGUAUCGUCAUAUCUCACCUCUACAAGCUCCCAAAUGCAGACACCUUUUAAAGAGUGGCAGAAAAAUGUUUAUCAUAAGUUAGACGUGUGAUUCUCAACCAUUUUUUGCCUAUGAACCCCUUCGAUUUCUAUUUUCCUCUACUGGAUUUCUAUAGCCAUUUGAUGUAUAUAAAAAGAUCUUACUGUAUUUUUAUAAUUAGACGUCACUGGGAAGUGUAUUUCGAAAAGAUAAAUAUUUUGUGUUGUAGAAGUAUAAGCAGUUUAGUUACUCUUUUACUUGUUUCAGUCAUUUGACUUCGGCCAUGCUGGAGCACCACCUUUAGUCGAGCAAAUCGACCCCAGUCAUUUGUCCCCCCAACGUUGCUUAACAACCGAUGCUGGUGUGUUUACAGCCCCGUAAUUUAGCUAUUCGGCAAAAGUGACCAAUAGAAUAAGUACUAAGCUUACAAAGAAUAAGUCCUGGGGUCACUUUGUUCGACUAAAAAGGUGGUGCUCCAGCAUGGCCACAGCUAAAUGACUGAAACAAGUAAAAGAGUAAAAGAGUACACUCACAGCUACAACUACUACUACUACUACUACUACUACUACUACUACUACUACUACUGCUACUGCUGCUGCUGCUGUUACUGCUGCUGCCGCCAUCGCAACCACCACCACCACCACCACCACCACUACUACUACUACUACUACUACUACUACUACUACUGCUGCUACCACCACCACCACCACUACUACUACUACUACUACUAAUAAUAAUGAUAAUAAUAAUAAUAAUAAUAAUAAUAAUAUUUUUUUUUUUAUGUAUUAGACAUUCACUAGUACAACACCAAAAAAAACCCCAAAAAAACCCCCCAAAUAUAUGGCACAGAACUUCCAACCUGUUGUCUCUUGAGGUCUCUGGGUGAGACUUGGAGCCAACUUGUACAGACAUAAAGCAAAAGUCAAACAUAGAAUAAUAAUAAUAAUAAUAAUAAUUAAUUAUUUUUAUUGGCCACAAGGGCUGACACACAUGAUUAGAAAACAUAAAGGGACAAAACAGGACGAAAGGUUACAAAGGGUUUUGUCCGUUUGUGAAAAAAUCGUGUAAAAACAGUUUAACAAUCAAAUAAUAUAACAACGAAAAACUCCCAAUAGGGGAGGCGUUUCGAAAGGUUCCUGGUGGAAAAACCCAUAAAAGCCAACGGGAUCCUGGUCAAAAGGUGGGUAGAGAGCCCCUUUCUCCUUUUAUAAUACCUUUUUCAAUUACAGGCGAAACCUGAGAAUUGAUCCAUUUAUACUGGCCAUUCUUGCACAAUUCACCCACCUUUCAGAAUACUUGCUAUCGGACAGCACUCUCCUCUCUAACCUCAUCUUCCUUUUCAAGUGAAACUUGAUAAAGUUGAUGAGGCCUUGACCAAAGAGGAAAGUGUCUGACUUUAGCCCUUUCAAACAGGUCCACCAUACAACCUCUUUCACCACAGCCACUAGGCACAUGAAAACGGCCUUGCCCUCCUUGUUAAAGGAGGUCGGCGGGGCAAUCUUCACUAUGGAUUCAGCUGAUAGCCGGAUCCGUCCUAUACGCGACAGUAGCUGUUCGACAUAAACCCAUAGUUCAGCAAUACUCAGGCACUGGACGAGUGCGUGCAGAACGGUUUCGUCGUCCUGGCAACACCUCGGGCAGGCUCAGCUGACGGCACUUCCGUGCCGGUAGAGUUUAUCCUGAACAGGCAGAGCCCCUCGGUAGCACUGCCAGGCGAGCGAAUUCUGGAAAUUAUCCAUUGGCCCCGGCCCGAAAGUCCUUCCGAACAGACCGCUCAGUUCGUUAUCAUCAACGCCUAGAGUUUCCCCGAGAACGUCGUCGCAUUUUUCCUCCACUAUAGAACGCUAGAGUGGAACUAAAACCGAUCGCAUUGCCCGCUUGGCGGAGGGCGGAGAGAGCUUGACGGCACUAUAACAAUAAUGAUGAUAGGCGCAGGCGUGGCUGUGUGGUAAGUAGCUUGUUUACCAGCCACAUGGUUCCGGGUUCAGGCCCACUGCGUGGCAUCUUGGGCAAGUGUCUUCUACUAUAGCCUCGGGCCGACCAAAGCCUUGUGAGUGGAUUUGGUAGACGGAAACUGAAAAGAAGCCCAUCGAAUAUAUGUAUAUGCAUGUAUAUAUGUGUGUGUGUGUGUGUUUGUGUGUUUGUCCCCCUCAACAUCACUUGACAACCGAUGCUGGUGUGUUUAUGUCCCCAUAACUUAACGGUUCAUCAAAAGAGACCGAUAGAAUAAUUACUAGGCUUACAAAGAAUAAGUCCUGGGGUCGAUUUGCUCGACUAUAUAUAUGUGUGUGUGCGUGUAUGUUUGUGUGUCUGUAUGUGUCCCCCUAGCAUUGCUUGACAACCGAUGCUGGUGUGUUUAUGUCCCCGUUACUUAGCGGUUCGGCAAAAGAGACCGAUAGAAUAAGUACUCGGCUUACAAAAGAAUAAGUCCCGGGGUCGAGUUGCACGAUUAAAGGCGGUGCUCCAGCAUGGCCGCAGUCAAAUGACUGAAACAAGUAAAAGAGUAUAAUAAUAAUAAUACUGCUGCUACUACUACUACUGUUGCAGCUGCAGCAGCUUCUGUUUCUCUGAAUUCGCCACCUUUGAAGAAUCUUUACACCAGAACAUCUAAUGCACCCCACCCCACCCACAUUUCCUUUUUUCAUCAUUCUAUCAAACUCUCUCCCUCCCUCUUUCUGUCUCUUUCUUUCUCUCUCACUCUGUCUCUCUCUGUCUCUCUCUCUCUUUCCCCUUGUCUCUGUCUGUCUUUCUCUUUCUCUCUCUGACCUUCUUAAUCCAGCGCUAAACAUUUACCCUCAAAAUCUAACACGCCCCCCCCUCUGGAAUGUCAUCCCUGACUUUUCAUUAUAAGUCCCGACUGAAUUCUAGUUGUUGUUACAUUAUUUACAUUAUUUACAUUAUUUACAUUACUUACAUUAUUUACAUUAUGUACAGUAUUUACAUUAUUUACAUUAUUUACAUUAUUUACAUUAUGUACAUUAUUUGCAUUAUUUACAUUACUUACAUUAUUUACAUUAUUUACAUUAUUUACAUUAUUUACAUUAUGUACAUUAUUUACAUUAUGUACAUUAUGUACAUUAUUUACAUUAUUUACAUUAUGUACAUUAUUUACAUUAUGUACAUUAUUUACAUUAUGUACAGUAUUUACAUUAUUUACAUUAUUUACAUUAUUUACAUUAUGUACAUUAUUUACAUUAUUUACAUUAUUUACAUUAUUUACAUUAUUUACAUUAUUUACAUUAUUUACAUUAUUUACAUUAUUACAUUAUUUACAUUAUUUACAUUAUUUAUUUACAUUAUUUACAUUAUUUACAUUAUUUACAUUAUUAUACAUUAUUUACAUUAUUUACAUUAUUUACAUUAUUUACAUUAUUUACAUUAUUUACAUUAUUUACAUUAUUUACAUUAUUAUACAUUAUUUACAUUAUUUACAUUAUUUACAUUAUUUACAUUAUUUACAUUAUUUACAUUAUUUACAUUAUUUACAUUAUUUACAUUAUUUACAUUAUUUACAUUAUUUACAUUAUUUACAUUAUUUACAUUAUUUACAUUAUUACAUUAUUUACAUUAUUUACAUUAUUACAUUAUUUACAUUAUUUACAUUAUUUACAUUAUUUACAUUAUUUACAUUAUUUACAUUAUUUACAUUAUUUACAUUAUUUACAUUAUUUACAUUAUUUACAUUAUUUACAUUAUUUACAUUAUUUACAUUAUUUACAUUAUUUACAUUAUUUACAUUAUUUACAUUAUUUACAUUAUUUACAUUAUUUACAUUAUUUACAUUAUUUACAUUAUUUACAUUAUUUACAUUAUUUACAUUAUUUACAUUAUUUACAUUAUUUACAUUAUUUACAUUAUUUACAUUAUUUACAUUACAUUAUUACAUUAUUUACAUUAUUUACAUUAUUUACAUUAUUUACAUUAUUUACAUUAUUUACAUUAUUUACAUUAUUUACAUUAUUUACAUUAUUUACAUUAUUUACAUUAUUUACAUUAUUUACAUUAUUUACAUUAUUUACAUUAUUUACAUUAUUUACAUUAUUUACAUUAUUUACAUUAUUUACAUUAUUUACAUUAUUUACAUUAUUACAUUAUUUACAUUAUUUACAUUAUUUACAUUAUUUACAUUAUUUACAUUAUUUACAUUAUUUACAUUAUUUACAUUAUUUACAUUAUUUACAUUAUUUACAUUAUUUACAUUAUUUACAUUAUUACAUUAUUUACAUUAUUUACAUUAUUUACAUUAUUUACAUUAUUUACAUUAUUUACAUUAUUUACAUUAUUUACAUUAUUUACAUUAUUUACAUUAUUACAUUAUUUAUUACAUUAUUUACAUUAUUUACAUUAUUUACAUUAUUUACAUUAUUUACAUUAUUUACAUUAUUUACAUUAUUUACAUUAUUUACAUUAUUUACAUUAUUUACAUUAUUUACAUUAUUUACAUUAUAUACAUUAUUUACAUUAUUUACAUUAUUUACAUUAUUUACAUUAUUUACAUUAUUUACAUUAUUUACAUUAUUUACAUUAUUUUACAUUAUUUACAUUAUUUACAUUAUUUACAUUAUUUACAUUAUUUACAUUAUUUACAUUAUUUACAUUAUUUACAUUAUUUACAUUAUUUACAUUAUUUACAUUAUUUACAUUAUUUACAUUAUUUACAUUAUUUACAUUAUUUACAUUAUUUACAUUAUUUACAUUAUUUACAUUAUUUACAUUAUUUACAUUAUUUACAUUAUUUACAUUAUUUACAUUAUUUACAUUAUUUACAUUAUUUACAUUAUUUACAUUAUUUACAUUAUUAUACAUUAUUUACAUUAUUACAUUAUUUACAUUAUUUACAUUAUUUACAUUAUUUACAUUAUUUACAUUAUUUACAUUAUUUACAUUAUUUACAUUAUUUACAUUAUUUACAUUAUAUUAUUUACAUUAUUUACAUUAUUUACAUUAUUUACAUUAUUUACAUUAUUUACAUUAUAUACAUUAUUUACAUUAUGUACAUUAUUUACAUUAUUUACAUUAUUUACAUUAUAUACAUUAUUUACAUUAUGUACAUUAUUUACAUUAUUUACAUUAUUUACAUUAUAUACAUUAUUUACAUUAUUUACAUUAUUUACAUUAUUUACAUUAUAUACAUUAUUUACAUUAUUUGCAUUAUGUACAUUACUUACAUUAUGUACAUUAUUUACAUUAUGUACCUUAUUUACAUUAUAUACAUUAUUUACAUUAUGUACAGUAUUUACAUUAUUUACAUUAUAUACAUUAUUUACAUUAUUUGCAUUAUGUACAUUACUUACAUUAUGUACAUUAUUUACAUUAUUUACAUUAUUUACAUUAUGUACAUUACUUACAUUAUGUACAGUAUUUACAUUAUUUACAUUAUUUACAUUAUUUACAUUAUGUACAUUAUUUGCAUUAUUUACAUUACUUACAUUAUUUACAUAUAUUACAUUAUUUACAUUAUUUACAUUAUUUACAUUAUUUACAUUAUUUACAUUAUUUACAUUAUUUACAUUAUUUACAUUAUUUACAUUAUUUACAUUAUUUACAUUAUUUACAUUAUUUACAUUAUUUACAUUAUUUACAUUAUUUACAUUAUUUACAUUAUUUACAUUAUUUACAUUAUUUACAUUAUUUACAUUAUUUACAUUAUUUACAUUAUUUACAUUAUUUACAUUAUUUAUUUAUUUACAUUAUUUACAUUAUUUACAUUAUUUACAUUAUUUACAUUAUUUACAUUAUUUACAUUAUUUACAUUAUUUACAUUAUUUACAUUAUUAUACAUUAUUUACAUUAUUUACAUUAUUUACAUUAUUUACAUUAUUUACAUUAUUUACAUUAUUUACAUUAUUUACAUUAUUUACAUUAUUUACAUUAUUUACAUUAUUUACAUUAUUUACAUUAUUUACAUUAUUUACAUUAUUUACAUUAUUUACAUUAUUUACAUUAUUUACAUUAUUUACAUUAUUUACAUUAUUUACAUUAUUUACAUUAUUUACAUUAUUUACAUUAUUUACAUUAUUUACAUUAUUUACAUUAUUUACAUUAUUUACAUUAUUUACAUUAUUUACAUUAUUUACAUUAUUUACAUUAUUUACAAUUACUUAUUUACAUUAUUUACAUUAUUUACAUUAUUUACAUUAUUUACAUUAUUUACAUUAUUACAUUAUUUACAUUAUUUACAUUAUUUACAUUAUUUACAUUAUUUACAUUAUUUACAUUAUUUACAUUAUUUACAUUAUUUAUAUUAUUUACAUUAUUUACAUUAUUUACAUUAUUUACAUUAUUUACAUUAUUUACAUUAUUUACAUAUUACAUUAUUUACAUUAUUUACAUUAUUUACAUUAUAUACAUUAUUUACAUUAUUUACAUUAUUUACAUUAUAUACAUUAUAUACAUUAUUUACAUUAUUUACAUUAUUUACAUUAUUUACAUUAUAUACAUUAUUUACAUUAUUUACAUUAUUUACAUUAUUUACAUUAUUUACAUUAUAUACAUUAUUUACAUUAUUUACAUUAUUUACAUUAUUUACAUUAUUUUAUUUACAUUAUUUACAUUAUUUACAUUAUUUACAUUAUUUACAUUAUUUACAUUAUUUACAUUAUUUACAUUAUUUACAUUAUUUACAUUAUUACUUAUACAUUAUUUACAUUAUUACAUUAUUUACAUUAUUACAUUAUUUACAUUAUUUACAUUAUUUACAUUAUUUACAUUAUUUACAUUAUUACAUUAUUUACAUUAUUUACAUUAUUUACAUUAUUUACAUUAUUUACAUUAUUUUAUAUUACAUUAUUUACAUUAUUUACAUUAUUUACAUUAUUUACAUUAUUUUAUUACAUUAUUUACAUUAUUUACAUUUUAUUUACAUUAUUUACAUUAUUUACAUUAUUUACAUUAUUUACAUUAUUUACAUUAUUUACAUUAUUUACAUUAUUUACAUUAUUUACAUUAUUUACAUUAUUACAUUAUUUACAUUAUUUACAUUAUUUACAUUAUUUACAUUAUUUACAUUAUUUACAUUAUUACAUUAUUUACAUUAUUUACAUUAUUUACAUUAUUUACAUUAUUUACAUUAUUUACAUUAUUUACAUUAUUUACAUUAUUUACAUUAUUUACAUUAUUUACAUUAUUUAAUUAUAUACAUUAUUUACAUUAUUUACAUUAUUUACAUUAUUUACAUUAUUUACAUUAUUUACAUUAUGUACAUUAUUUACAUUAUUUACAUUAUUUACAUUAUAUACAUUAUUUACAUUAUUUACAUUAUUUACAUUAUAUACAUUAUUUACAUUAUGUACAUUAUUUACAUUAUUUACAUUAUUUACAUUAUUUACAUUAUUUACAUUAUUUACAUUAUUUACAUUAUUUACAUUAUUUACAUUAUUUACAUUAUUUACAUUAUUUACAUUAUUUUUACAUUAUUACAUUAUUUACAUUAUUUACAUUAUUUACAUUAUUACAUUAUUUACAUUAUUUACAUUAUUUACAUUAUUUACAUUAUUUACAUUAUUUACAUUAUUUACAUUAUUUACAUUAUUUACAUUAUUUACAUUAUUUACAUUAUUUACAUUAUUUACAUUAUUUACAUUAUUUACAUUAUUUACAUUAUUUACAUUAUUUACAUUAUUUACAUUAUUUACAUUAUUUACAUUAUUACAUUACACAUUAUUUACAUUAUUUACAUUAUUACAUUAUUUACAUUAUUUACUACAUUAUUUACAUUAUUUACAUUAUUUACAUUAUUUACAUUAUUUACAUUAUUUACAUUAUUUACAUUAUUUACAUUAUUAUACAUUAUUUACAUUAUUUACAUUAUUUACAUUAUUUACAUUAUUUACAUUAUUUACAUUACAUUAUUUACAUUAUUUACAUUAUUUACAUUAUUUACAUUAUUUACAUUAUUUACAUUAUUUACAUUAUUACAUUAUUUACAUUAUUUACAUUAUUUACAUUAUUUACAUUAUUUACAUUAUUUACAUUAUUUACAUUAUUUACAUUAUUUACAUUAUUUACAUUAUUUACAUUAUUUACAUUAUUUACAUUAUUUACAUUAUUUACAUUAUUUACAUUAUUUACAUUAUUUACAUUAUUUACAUUAUUUACAUUAUUUACAUUAUUUACAUUAUUUACAUUAUUUACAUUAUUUACAUUAUUUACAUUAUUUACAUUAUUUACAUUAUUUACAUUAUUUACAUUAUUACAUUAUUUACAUUAUAUACAUUAUUUAUAUUAUUUACAUUAUGUACAUUAUUUACAUUAUUUACAUUAUUUACAUUAUAUACAUUAUUUACAUUAUUAUUAUUUACAUUAUUUACAUUAUUUACAUUAUUUACAUUAUUUACAUUAUUUACAUUAUUUACAUUAUUUACAUUAUUUACAUUAUUUACAUUAUUUACAUUAUUUACAUUAUUUACAUUAUUUACAUUAUUUACAUUAUUUACAUUAUUUACAUUAUUUACAUUAUUUACAUUAUUUACAUUGUUUACAUUAUUUACAUUAUAUACAUUAUUUACAUUAUAUACAUUAUUUACAUUAUUUACAUUAUUUACAUUAUUUACAUUAUAUACAUUAUUUACAUUAUGUACAUUAUUUACAUUAUUUACAUUAUUUACAUUAUAUACAUUAUUUACAUUAUUUACAUUAUUUACAUUAUUUACAUUAUUUACAUUAUUUACAUUAUUUACAUUAUUUACAUUAUUUACAUUAUUUACAUUAUUUACAUUAUUUACAUUAUUUACAUUAUUUACAUUAUUUACAUUAUUUACAUUAUUUACAUUAUUUACAUUAUUUACAUUAUAUACAUUAUUUACAUUAUAUACAUUAUUUACAUUAUUUACAUUAUUUACAUUAUUUACAUUAUAUACAUUAUUUACACUAUUUACAUUAUUUACAUUAUUUAUAUUACAUUAUUACAUUAUUUACAUUAUUUACAUUAUUUACAUUAUUUACAUUAUUUACAUUAUUUACAUUAUUUACAUUAUUUACAUUAUUUACAUUAUUUACAUUAUUUACAUUAUUUACAUUAUUUACAUUAUUUACAUUAUUUACAUUAUUUACAUUAUUUACAUUAUUUACAUUAUUAUACAUUAUUUACAUUAUUUACAUUAUUUACAUUAUACAUUAUUUACAUUAUUUACAUUAUUUACAUUAUUUAUUACAUUAUACAUUAUUAUUACAUUAUUUACAUUAUUUACAUUAUUUACAUUAUUUACAUUAUUACAUUAUUUACAUUAUUUACAUUAUUUACAUUAUUUACAUUAUAUACAUUAUUUACAUUAUGUACAUUAUUUACAUUAUAUACAUUAUUUACAUUAUGUACAUUAUUUACAUUAUUUACAUUAUUUACAUUAUAUACAUUAUUUACAUUAUUUACAUUAUUUACAUUAUUUACAUUAUAUACAUUAUUUACAUUAUUUACAUUAUUUACAUUAUAUACAUUAUUUACAUUAUUUACAUUAUUUACAUUAUAUACAUUAUUUACAUUAUGUACAUUAUUUACAUUAUUUACAUUAUUUACAUUAUAUACAUUAUUUACAUUAUUUACAUUAUUUACAUUAUUUACAUUAUAUACAUUAUUUACAUUAUUUACAUUAUUUACAUUAUUUACAUUAUAUACAUUAUUUACAUUAUUUACAUUAUUUACAUUAUUUACAUUAUUUACAUUAUUUACAUUAUUUACAUUAUUUACAUUAUUUACAUUAUUUACAUUAUUAUAUUACAUUAUUUACAUUAUUUACAUUAUUUACAUUAUUUACAUUAUUUACAUUAUUUACAUUAUUUACAUUAUUUACAUUAUUUACAUUAUUUACAUUAUUUACAUUAUUUACAUUAUUUACAUUAUUUACAUUAUUUACAUUAUUUACAUUAUUUACAUUAUUUACAUUAUUUACAUUAUUUACAUUAUUUACAUUAUUUACAUUAUUUACAUUAUUUACAUUAUUUACAUUAUUUACAUUAUUUACAUUAUUUACAUUAUUUACAUUAUUUACAUUAUUUACAUUAUUUACAUUAUUUACAUUAUUUACAUUAUUUACAUUAUUUACAUUAUUUACAUUAUUUACAUUAUUUACAUUAUUUACAUUAUUUACAUUAUUUACAUUAUUAUUAUUAUUUACAUUAUUUACAUUAUUUACAUUAUUUACAUUAUUUACAUUAUUUACAUUAUUUACAUUAUUUACAUUAUUACAUUAUUUACAUUAUUUACAUUAUUUACAUUAUGUACAUUAUUUACAUUAUUUACAUUAUUUACAUUAUUUACAUUAUUUACAUUAUUAUACAUUAUUUACAUUAUUUACAUUAUUUACAUUAUUUACAUUAUUUACAUUAUUUACAUUAUUAUACAUUAUUUACAUUAUUUACAUUAUUUACAUUAUUUACAUUAUUUACAUUAUUUACAUUAUUUACAUUAUUUACAUUAUUUACAUUAUUUACAUUAUUUACAUUAUUUACAUUAUUUACAUUAUUUACAUUAUUUACAUUAUUUACAUUAUUUACAUUAUUACAUUAUUUACAUUAUUUACAUUAUUUACAUUAUUUACAUUAUUUACAUUAUUUACAUUAUUUACAUUAUUUACAUUAUUUACAUUAUUUACAUUAUUUACAUUAUUUACAUUAUUUACAUUAUUUACAUUAUUUACAUUAUUUACAUUAUUUACAUUAUUUACAUUAUUACAUUAUUUACAUUAUAUACAUUAUUUACAUUAUUUACAUUAUUUACAUUAUUUACAUUAUAUACAUUAUUUACAUUAUUUACAUUAUUUACAUUAUUUACAUUAUUUACAUUAUAUACAUUAUUUACAUUAUUUACAUUAUUUACAUUAUAUACAUUAUUUACAUUAUUUACAUUAUUUACAUUAUAUACAUUAUUUACAUUAUAUACAUUAUUUACAUUAUUUACAUUAUUUACAUUAUUUACAUUAUUUACAUUAUAUACAUUAUUUACAUUAUAUACAUUAUUUACAUUAUGUACAUUUACAUUAUUUACCUUAUUUACAUUAUAUACAUUAUUUACAUUAUUUACAUUAUUUACAUUAUUUACAUUAUAUACAUUAUUUACAUUAUAUACAUUAUUUACAUUAUUUUCAUUAUUUACAUUAUUUACAUUAUUUACAUUAUUUACAUUAUUUACAUUAUUUACAUUAUAUACAUUAUUUACAUUAUUUACAUUAUUUACAUUAUUUACAUUAUAUACAUUAUUUACAUUAUUUACAUUAUUUACAUUAUUUACAUUAUAUACAUUAUUUACAUUAUUUACAUUAUUUACAUUAUUUACAUUAUUUACAUUAUGUACAUUAUUUACAUUAUUUACAUUAUGUACAUUAUUUACAUUAUUUACAUUAUGUACAUUAUUUACAUUAUUUACAUUAUUUACAUUAUUUACAUUAUAUACAUUAUUUACAUUAUUUGCAUUAUGUACAUUAUAUACAUUAUUUACAUUAUUUACAUUAUUUACAUUAUAUACAUUAUUUACAUUAUUUACAUUAUUUACAUUAUUUACAUUAUAUACAUUAUUUACAUUAUUUACAUUAUAUACAUUAUUUACAUUAUUUACAUUAUAUACAUUAUUUACAUUAUUUACAUUAUAUACAUUAUUUACAUUAUUUACAUUAUUUACAUUAUAUACAUUAUUUACAUUACUUACAUUAUUUACAUUAUAUACAUUAUUUACAUUAUUUACAUUAUUUACAUUAUUUACAUUAUAUACAUUAUUUACAUUAUUUACAUUAUAUACAUUAUUUACAUUAUUUACAUUAUAUACAUUAUUUACAUUAUUUACAUUAUAUACAUUAUUUACAUUAUUUACAUUAUUUACAUUAUGUACAUUAUUUACAUUAUUUACAUUAUUUACAUUAUUUACAUUAUAUACAUUAUUUACAUUAUUUACAUUAUUUACAUUAUAUACAUUAUUUACAUUAUUUACAUUAUAUACAUUAUUUACAUUAUUUACAUUAUUUACAUUAUUUACAUUAUAUACAUUAUUUACAUUAUUUACAUUAUUUACAUUAUAUACAUUAUUUACAUUAUUUACAUUAUUUACAUUAUAUACAUUAUAUACAUUAUUUACAUUAUUUACAUUAUUUACAUUAUGUACAUUAUUUACAUUAUAUACAUUAUUUACAUUAUUUACAUUAUUUACAUUAUUUACAUUAUGUACAUUAUUUACAUUAUUUACAUUAUUUACAUUAUAUACAUUAUUUACAUUAUUUACAUUAUGUACAUUAUUUACAUUAUGUACAUUAUAUACAUUAUUUACAUUAUUUACAUUAUUUACAUUAUAUACAUUAUUUACAUUAUUUACAUUAUUUACAUUAUAUACAUUAUUUACAUUAUUUACAUUAUUUACAUUAUAUACAUUAUUUACAUUAUUUACAUUAUUUACAUUAUAUACAUUAUUUACAUUAUUUACAUUAUUUACAUUAUAUACAUUAUUUACAUUAUUUACAUUAUGUACAUUAUUUACAUUAUUUACAUUAUUUACAUUAUUUACAUUAUAUACAUUAUUUACAUUAUUUACAUUAUGUACAUUAUUUACAUUAUUUACAUUAUUUACAUUAUAUACAUUAUUUACAUUAUUUACAUUAUAUACAUUAUUUACAUUAUUACAUUAUUUACAUUAUUUACAUUAUGUACAUUACUUACAUUAUGUACAUUAUAUACAUUAUUUACAUUAUUUACAUUAUUUACAUUAUAUACAUUAUUUACAUUAUUUACAUUAUUUACAUUAUAUACAUUAUUUACAUUAUUUACAUUAUGUACAUUAUUUACAUUAUUUACAUUAUUUACAUUAUGUACAUUAUUUACAUUAUUUACAUUAUGUACAUUCCUUAAAAUCCUUAAAUCCUUAAAAAUGUUUUAGCCCGAAGGCCGCGGCCAUGCUGGGGCACCACCGCUGAAUGAGCUACACUAGUUUGUGAAUCCACCUCUGAUACGUGGCACUUGAUCAACAAGGAGUUCGAUGCUGCUGCCCGCAUCCGUGUCUCCUGUCGUGAGGUAGGUUCAUCUGGGACUCCCAACAAGAAGAGAUCCAGUUUAGUUUUAAAGAAACCCACAUCCACACCAUGUAAGUCUCUCAGGCAUUUAGGGAGGAUGUUAAAGAGCUGUGGUCCUCUGAAACCCAAGCUGUUGCAGUAUCUGGACCUGUAUUUUGAUGGUGAUGUUGGAAUCCUUGGCACCACGCAGCGGCGCCCGUUCUGCGGUUGGAGUAACUUUGAAUGCCAAAGUUUGGGACAAGACCCUCCAGGAUUUUCCAGAUGUAUAUCACUGCAUAUCUCUCCCGCCUCCGCUCCAGGGAGAAGAGGUUUAAUACCUUCAGUCUUUCCCAGUAGCUGACAUUUUGCAUUGAGACGAUUUUCUUUGUGUAGCUUCUCUGAGUUGCUUCGAGUUCUGCUGUUUGUUUUAUAUUGUGUGGUGACCAAAGUUGGGAGCAGUAGUCCAAGCGGCUGAGGACAAAUGUUUUCCAUAGGACCAUCAGUGUCUCCUUCUCUCUUGUUCUGAAAGUUCGGAGAAUCCAUCCAGCUAGCCGUCUGCAUUUUAUCACCAGAUUAGCAAUAUGCAUUUGGAAAGAUGCAUCAUUGCUCAUGUCAAUGCCCAGGUCACGCACUGAUUUUGACUCAGGGAUUGCAAUUCUUCCUAGGCCAGUGUAUCCAGUCUUCACGUCAUUUACCUUUGUGUGCCAGUAGCGCAGGGCCUGGAACUUACCUGCAUUAAACUGCAUGUUGUUGUCCUCAGCCCACCUGUAUAUUGUGUCCAGCUCAUGUUGCAGAUGCGCAAUAUUUUCAGGGUUUUGUAUUGCGUGGGAGACUUUUGUGUCAUCUGCAUAGCUAGCAAGGGUGCUCAUCGUAGCAACUGAAGGCAUGUCUGAAAGGGCCACUAUGAACAUCAGUGGCCCCAAGACAGUGCCCUGUGGGACACCGCUUGUUAUUUGCGUUUCCCUGGAGGUGGCUCCAUUGCUCACAACUGCCUGUUUUCUGUCUUUUAGGAAGUUGUGCAGCCACUCUCCAAGUUUCCCGCCUAUGCCGAGACCACGCAGUUUGUGACAGAUCAUACCAUGGUCGACUUUAUCAAAGGCUUUUGCAAAGUCAAGAUAUAUUACAUCCACAUUUGAGCCAUUUAGUAGCUGUUUCAACACCCAGUCAUAGUGUUGCAGGAGCUGUGUUAGGCAGCCUCUACCUGGUCGAAAUCCAUGCUGGGUGUCAGACAGUAAGUCAUUUUCUUCAAGGAACAUGAUUAGUUUCUUACGGACUAUUCGUUCCAUGACUUUGCUGAUGUGUGAGGUCAGAGAGAUAGGCCUAUAAUUUUUAGCAUCUGCUCUGCUACCUCCCUUAUGGAUAGGGCAUAUUACCCCCUCUUUCAGUUUGACUGGGAGCUUACCACUUGCAAGAAAGCUCUGAAAAAGAAGCUGUAGCGGUUUUGCAAGGGCUCGUUUGCACGAUUUGAGAAGGAUCGCUGGGAAUCCAUCAGGUCCAGCAGCUGAGUUUGUGUCAAUCUCAUCAAUGGCUAGUGUGAUAUCAUCUUCUUCGAUGUUGAUGUACUCAAUUUUUGUCUCUUUGGCCGCUGAUAAAGUGGCAAAGAAUUCUUCUGGGUUGUUUACUUGCCUGUGUCCUAGAGGUGUAGUGAACACACUUUGGAACUGUUCGUUCAGUAUUUCACUUAUCCUCGUGGGAUUUCCUGUGAGAGAGCCAUCUUUUGGAAGAGAGGUCCUAUUCUCUGGUGCACUGUGGCUGUCUCUUUGGCAAACUUAAAGAAAGCUUUAGGGUUUGAUUUUAUAUUUUCUAUUACCCAAGCUUCUUUAUCUGCUCUCUCCUUUUCAUGGGACUGAUGUAGACUUUUCUCAGUUUCCAUUAGCAUUCUUUCGAGCCGAGACUUCUCACCACUUUUGGUGUGCUUGCUCAGGCGGUUUGCAAUCCUUGUCCGUCGUCUCAUAAGAAUCCUCCUUUCUCUAGGGAUCCUGUUUUUAUUCUUGUGUGUGCUGGCCCUGCACAUUGGGACAUAUUUGUCACAUAUGGCUUGUAUUGGCUUAUAUACAUUAUUUACAUUAUUUACAUUAUAUACAUUAUUUACAUUAUUUACAUUAUUUACAUUAUAUACAUUAUUUACAUUAUUUACAUUAUAUACAUUAUUUACAUUAUUUACAUUAUUUACAUUAUAUACAUUAUUUACAUUACUUACAUUAUGUACAUUAUAUACAUUAUUUACAUUAUAUACAUUAUUUACAUUAUAUACAUUAUUUAUAUUAUUUACAUUAUUUACAUUAUUUACAUUACUUACAUUACUUACAUUAUGUACAUUAUUUACAUUAUUUACAUUACUUACAUUACUUACAUUAUUUACAUUAUUUACAUUAUUUACAUUAUUUACAUUAUUUACAUUAUUUACAUUAUUUACAUUAUAUACAUUAUUUACAUUAUUUACAUUAUGUACAUUAUUUACAUUAUUUACAUUAUUUACAUUAUAUACAUUAUUUACAUUAUUUACAUUAUUUACAUUAUUUACAUUAUUUACAUUAUAUACAUUAUUUACAUUAUAUACAUUAUUUACAUUAUUUACAUUAUUUACAUUACUUACAUUAUGUACAUUAUAUACAUUAUUUACAUUAUUUACAUUAUUUACAUUAUUUACAUUAUUUACAUCAUUUACAUUAUUUACAUAAUGUACAUUAUUUACAUUAUGUACAUUAUCUACAUUACAUUAUUUACAUUAUUUACAUUAUUACAUUAUUUAUUCAUUAUUACAUUAUUUACAUUAUUUACAUUAUUUACAUUAUGUACAUUAUUUACAUUAUAUACAUUAUUUACAUUAUUUACAUUAUGUACAUAAUUUACAUUAUUUACAUUAUAUACAUUAUUUACAUUAUUUACAUUAUUUACAUUAUUUACAUUAUUUACAUUAUUUACAUUAUUUACAUUAUUUACAUUAUUUACAUUAUUUACAUUAUGUACAUUAUUUACAUUAUUUACAUUAUUUACAUUAUUUACAUUAUUUACAUUAUUUACAUUAUUUACAUUAUUUACAUUAUUUACAUUAUUUACAUUAUGUACAUUAUUUACAUUAUUUACAUUAUUUACAUUAUUUACAUUAUGUACAUUAUUUACAUUAUUUACAUUAUGUACAUUAUUUACAUUAUUUACAUUAUUUACAUUAUUUACAUUAUUUACAUUAUUUACAUUAUUUACAUAAUGUACAUUAUUUCCAUUAUUUACAUUAUUUACAUUAUUACAUUAUUUACAUUAUUUACAUUAUUUGCAUUAUUUACAUUAUUUACAUUAUGUACAUUAUUUACAUUAUUUACAUUAUUUACAUUAUGUACAUUAUUUACAUUUUUUACAUUAUUUACAUUCUGUACAUUAUUUACAUUAUUUACAUUAUUUACAUUAUUUACAUUAUUUACAUUAUGUACAUUAUUUACAUUAUUUACAUUAUGUACAUUAUUUACAUUAUUUACAUUACUUACAUUAUUUACAUUAUUUCCAUUAUGUACAUUAUUUAUAUUAUUUACAUUAUUUACAUUAUUUACAUUAUGUACAUUAUUUACAUUAUUUACAUUAUUUACAUUAUUUACAUUAUUUACAUUAUUUACAUUAUUUACAUUAUUUACAUUAUGUACAUUAUUUACAUUAUUUACAUUAUUUACAUUAUUUACAUUAUUUACAUUAUGUACAUUAUUUACAUUAUUUACAUUAUGUACAUUAUUUACAUUAUUUACAUUAUGUACAUUAUUUACAUUAUUUACAUUACUUACAUUAUUUACAUUAUUUCCAUUAUGUACAUUAUUUAUAUUAUUUACAUUAUUUACAUUAACAUUAUGUACAUUAUUCAUAUUAUAUACAUUAUUUACAUUAUUUACAUUAUGUACAUUAUUUACAUUAUUUACAUUAUUUACAUUAUUUACAUUAUUUACAUUAUUUACAUUAUUUGCAUUAUUUACAUUAUUUACAUUAUGUACAUUAUUUACAUUAUUUACAUUAUUUACAUUAUUUACAUUAUUUACAUUAUGUACAUUAUUUACAUUAUGUACAUUAUUUACAUUAUUUACAUUAUUUACAUUAUUUACAUUAUUUACAUUAUUUACAUUAUUUACAUUAUUUACAUUAUGUACAUUAUUUACAUUAUUUACAUUAUGUACAUUAUUUACAUUAUUUACAUUAUUUACAUUAUUUACAUUAUGUACAUUAUUUACAUUAUUUACAUUAUUUACAUUAUUUACAUUAUUUACAUUAUUUACAUUAUUUACAUUAUUUACAUUAUUUACAUUAUUUACAUUAUUUACAUUAUUUACAUUAUUUACAUUAUUUACAUUAUUUACAUUAUUUUCAUUAUUUACAUUAUUUACAUUAUUUACAUUAUUUACAUUAUUUACAUUAUUUACAUUAUGUACAUUAUUUACAUUAUUUACAUUAUUUACAUUAUUUACAUUAUUUACAUUAUUUACAUUAUUUUACAUUAUUUACAUUAUUUACAUUAUUUACAUUAUUUACAUUAUUUACAUUAUGUACAUUAUUAUUACAUUAUUUACAUUAUUUACAUUAUUUACAUUAUUUACAUUAUUUACAUUAUUUACAUUAUUUACAUUAUUUACAUUAUUUACAUUAUUUACAUUAUUUACAUUAUUUACAUUAUUUACAUUAUUUACAUUAUUUACAUUAUUUACAAUAUAACCAUUAUUUCCAUUAUUUACAUUAUGUACAUUAUUUACAUUAUUUACAUUAUUUACAUUAUUUACAUUAUUUACAUUAUUUACAUUAUUUACAUUAUUUACAUUAUUUACAUUAUUUACAUUAUUUACAUUAUUUACAUUAUUUACAUUAUUUACAUUAUUUACAUUAUUUACAUUAUUUACAUUAUUUACAUUAUUUACAUUAUGUACAUUAUUUACAUUAUUUACAUUAUGUACAUUAUUUACAUUAUCUACAUUAUUUACAUUAUUUACAUUAUUUACAUUAUGUACAUUAUUUACAUUAUUUACAUUAUUUACAUUAUUUACAUUAUUUACAUUAUGUACAUUAUUUACAUUAUUUACAUUAUUUACAUUAUUUACAUUAUUUACAUUAUUUACAUUAUUUACAUUAUUUACAUUAUUUACAUUAUUUACAUUAUUUACAUUAUUUACAUUAUUUACAUUAUUUACAUUAUUUACAUUAUUUACAUUAUUUACAUUAUGUACAUUAUUUACAUUAUUUACAUUAUUUAAAUUAUGUACAUUAUUUACAUUAUUUACAUUGUUUACAUUAUGUACAUUAUUUACAUUAUUUACAUUAUUUACAUUAUUUACAUUAUUUACAUUAUGUACAUUAUUUACAUUAUUUACAUUAUGUACAUUAUUUAUAUUAUUUACAUUAUGUACAUUAUUUACAUUAUCUACAUUAUUUACAUUAUUUACAUUAUUUACAUUAUGUACAUUAUUUACAUUAUAUACAUUAUUUACAUUAUUUACAUUAUGUACAUAAUUUACAUUAUUUACAUUAUUUACAUUAUUUACAUUAUUUACAUUAUUUGCAUUAUUUACAUUAUUUACAUUAUGUACAUUAUUUACAUUAUUUACAUUAUUUACAUAAUGUACAUUAUUUCCAUUAUUUACAUUAUUUACAUUAUUACAUUAUUUACAUUAUUUACAUUAUUUGCAUUAUUUACAUUAUUUACAUUAUUUACAUUAUUUACAUCAUUUACAUUAUUUACAUAAUGUACAUUAUUUACAUUAUUUACAUUAUGUACAUUAUUUACAUUAUUUACAUUAUUUACAUUAUUUACAUUAUGUACAUUAUUUACAUUAUUUACAUUAUUUACAUAAUGUACAUUAUUUCCAUUAUUUACAUUAUUUACAUUAUUACAUUAUUUACAUUAUUUACAUUAUUUGCAUUAUUUACAUUAUUUACAUUAUUUACAUUAUUUACAUCAUUUACAUUAUUUACAUAAUGUACAUUAUUUACAUUAUGUACAUUAUCUACAUUAUCUACAUUAUUUACAUUAUGUACAUUAUUUACAUUAUCUACAUUAUUUACAUUAUUUACAUUAUUUACAUUAUGUACAUUAUUUACAUUAUAUACAUUAUUUACAUUAUUUACAUUAUGUACAUAAUUUACAUUAUUUACAUUAUUUACAUUAUUUACAUUAUUUACAUUAUUUACAUUAUUUCCAUUAUUUACAUUAUUUACAUUAUUUACAUUAUUUACAUUAUUUACAUUAUUUACAUUAUUUACAUUAUUUACAGUAUUUACAUUAUUUACAUUAUGUACAUUAUUUACAUUAUUUACAUUGUUUACAUUAUGUACAUUAUUUACAUUAUUUACAUUAUUUACAUUAUUUACAUUAUGUACAUUAUUUACAUUAUUUACAUUAUGUACAUUAUUUACAUUAUCUACAUUAUUUACAUUAUUUACAUUAUUUACAUUAUUUACAUUAUUUACAUAAUGUACAUUAUUUCCAUUAUUUACAUUAUUUACAUUAUGUACAUUAUUUACAUUAUUUACAUUGUUUGCAUUAUUUACAUUAUUUACAUUAUGUACAUCAUUUACAUUAUUUACAUAAUGUACAUUAUUUACAUUAUUUACAUUAUGUACAUUAUUUACAUUAUUUACAUUAUUUACAUUAUUUACAUUAUGUACAUUAUUUACAUUAUUUACAUUAUUUACAUUAUGUACAUUAUUUAAAUUAUUUACAUUAUUUACAUUAUUUGCAUUAUUUACAUUAUUUACAUUAUGUACAUUAUUUACAUUAUUUACAUUGUGUACAUUAUUUACAUUAUUUACAUUACUUACAUUGUUUACAUUAUUUACAUUAUUUACAUUAUUUACAUUAUGAACAUUAUUUACAUUAUUUACAUUAUUUACAUUAUUUACAUUAUGUACAUUAUUUACAUUAUUUACAUUAUUUACAUUAUUAACAUUAUUUACAUUAUGUACAUUAUUUACAUUAUUUACAUUAUAUACAUUAUUUACCUUAUUUACAUUAUUCACAUUAUUUACAUAAUGUACAUUAUUUCCAUUAUUUACAUUAUUUACAUUAUUACAUUAUUUACAUUAUUUACAUUAUUUACAUUAUUUACAUUAUGUACAUUAUUUACAUUAUUUACAUUAUGUACAUUAUUUACAUUAUUUACAUUACUUACAUUAUUUACAUUAUUUCCAUUAUGUACAUUAUUUAUAUUAUUUACAUUAUUUACAUUAACAUUAUGUACAUUAUUCAUAUUAUAUACAUUAUUUACAUUAUUCACAUUAUUUACAUUAUUUACAUUAUUUACAUUUUUUACAUUAUGUACAUUAUUUACAUUAUUUACAUUAUUUACAUUAUUUACAUUAUGUACAAUAUGUACAUCAUUUACUUUAUGUACAUUAUUUACAUUAUUUACAUUAUGUACAUUAUUUACAUUAUUUACAUUACUUACAUUAUUUACAUUAUUUCCAUUAUGUACAUUAUUUAUAUUAUUUACAUUAUUUACAUUAACAUUAUGUACAUUAUUCAUAUUAUAUACAUUAUUUACAUUAUUCACAUUAUUUACAUUAUUUACAUUAUAUACAUUAUUUACAUUAUUUACAUUAUUUACAUUAUUUACAUUAUUUGCAUUAUUUACAUUAUUUACAUUAUGUACAUUAUUUACAUUUAUUACAUUAUUUACAUUCUGUACAUUAUUUACAUUAUGUACAUUAUUUACAUUAUGUACAUUAUUUACAUUAUGUACAUUAUUUACAUUAUUUACAUUAUUUACAUUAUUUACAUUAUAUACAUUAUUUACAUUAUCAACAUUAUUUACAUUAUUUACAUUAUGAACAUUAUUUACAUUAUUUACAUUAUUUACAUUAUUUACAUUAUGUACAUUAUUUACAUUAUUUACAUUAUUUCCAUUAUUAACAUUAUUUACAUUAUGUACAUUAUUUACAUUAUUUACAUUAUAUACAUUAUUUACCUUAUUUACAUUAUUCACAUUAUUUACAUUAUUUACAUUAUUUACCUUAUUUACAUUAUGUACAUUAUUUACAUUAUGUACAUUAUUUACGUUAUUUACAUUAUUUACAUUAUGUACAUUAUUUACAUUAUUUACAUUAUUUACAUUAUUUACAUUAUGUACAUAAUGUACAUUAUUUAACUUAUGUACAUUAUUUACAUUAUUUACAUUAUUUACAUUAUGUACAUUAUUUACAUUAUUUACAUUAUUUACACCAUUUACAUUAUGUACAUUAUUUAAAUUAUUUACAUUAUUUACAUUAUUUACAUUAUUUACAUCAUUUACAUUAUUUACAUUAUUUACAAUAUAACCAUUAUUUCCAUUAUUUACAUUAUGUACAUGAUUUACAUUAUUUACAUUAUUUACAUUAUUUACAUUAUGUACAUUAUUUACAUUAUUUACAGUAGUUACAUUAUUUGCAUUAUGUACAUUAUUUACAUUAUUUACAUUGUUUACAUUAUUUAUAUUAUUUACAUUAUUUACAUUAUUUACAUUAUUUACAUUAUUUACAUUAUGUACAUUAUCUACAUUAUUUACAUUAUUUACAUUAUUUACAUUAUUACAUUAUUUACAUUAUUUACAUUAUUUACAUUAUUUACAUUAUUUACACAUUAUAUACAUUAUUUACAUUAUUUACAUUAUGUACAUAAUUUACAUUAUUUACAUUAUUUACAUUAUUUACAUUAUUUACAUUAUUUACAUUAUUUGCAUUAUUUACAUUAUUUACAUUAUGUACAUUAUUUACAUUAUUUACAUUAUUUACAUUAUUUACAUUAUUGACAUUGUUUACAGUAUUUACAUUAUUUAAAUUAUGUACAUUAUUUACAUUAUUUACAUUGUUUACAUUAUGUACAUUAUUUACAUUAUUUACAUUAUUUAUAUUAUUUACAUUAUGUACAUUAUUUACAUUAUUUACAUUAUUUAUUUACAUUAUUUAAUUAUUUACAUUAUUUACAUUAUUUACAUUAUUUACAUUAUUUACAUUAUUUACAUUAUUUACAUUAUUUUAUUACAUUAUUAUAAUUAUUUACAUUAUUUACAUUAUUUACAUUAUUUACAUUAUUUACAUUAUUUACAUUAUUACAUUAUUUAAUUAUUUACAUUACAUUUUUACAUUAUUUACAUUAUUUACAUUAUUUAAUUAUUUACAUAUGUACAUUAUUUACAUUAUUUACAUUAUUUACAUUUAUUACAUUAUUUACAUUAUUUACAUUAUUUACAUUAUUUACAUUAUUUACAUUAUUUACAUUAUUUACAUUAUUUACAUUAUUUACAUUAUUACAUUAUUUACAUUAUUUACAUAUUUACAUUAUGUACAUUAUUUACAUUAUUUACAUUAUUUACAUUAUUUACAUCAUUUACAUUAUGUACAUUAUUUAAAUUAUUUACAUUAUUUACAUUAUUUACAUUAUUUACAUUAUUUACAUUAUUUACAUUAUUUACAUUAUGUACAUAAUUUACAUUAUUUACAUUAUUUACAUUAUGUACAUAAUUUACAUUAUGUACAUUAUUUACAUUAUAUACAUUAUUUACAUUAUGUACAUAAUUUACAUUAUUUACAUUAUUUACAUUAUUUACAUUAUUUACAUUAUUUACAUUAUUUACAUUAUGUACAUAAUUUACAUUAUGUACAUUAUUUACAUUAUUUACAUUAUUUACAUUAUUACAUUAUUUACAUUAUUUACAUUAUUUGCAUUAUUUACAUUAUUUACAUUAUGUACAUCAUUUACAUUAUUUACAUAAUGUACAUUAUUUACAUUAUUUACAUUAUGUACAUUAUUUACAUUAUUUACAUUAUUUACAUUAUUUACAUUAUUUACAUUAUGUACAUUAUUUACAUUAUUUACAUUAUUUACAUUAUGUACAUUAUUUACAUUAUUUACAUUAUUUACAUUAUUUGCAUUAUUUACAUUAUUUACAUUAUGUACAUUAUUUACAUUAUUUACAUUAUUUACAUUAUUUACAUUAUUUACAUUAUGUACAUUAUUUACAUUAUUUACAUUAUUUACAUUAUUUACAUUAUGUACAUUAUGUACAUUAUUUACAUUAUUUACAUUAUUUACAUUAUGUACAUUAUUUACAUUAUUUACAUUAUUUACAUUAUUUGCAUUAUUUGCAUUAUUUACAUUAUUUACAUUAUGUACAUUAUUUACAUUAUAUACAUUAUUUACAUUAUUAACAUUAUUUACAUUAUUUACAUUAUUUAAAUUAUUUACAUUAUUUACAUUAUUUACAUUAUGUACAUUAUUUACAUUAUUAACAUUAUUUACAUUAUUUACAUUAUGUAGAUUAUUUACAUUAUUUGCAUUAUUUACAUUAUUUACAUUACUUACAUUAUUUACAUUAUGUACAUUAUUUACAUUAUUUACAUUAUUUACAUUACUUACAUUACUUACAUUAUUUACAUUACUUACAUUAUUUACAUUAUGUACAUUAUGUACAUUAUUUACAUUAUUUACAUUAUUUACAUUAUGUACAUUAUUUACAUUAUUUACAUUAUUUACAUUAUUUACAUUACGUACAUUAUUUACGUUAUGUAUAUUAUUUACAUUAUUUACCUUAUUUACAUUAUGUACAUUAUUUACAUUAUUUACAUUAUUUACAUUAUGUACAUUGUUUACAUUGUGUUCUUUAUUUACAUUAUUUACAUUAUUUACAUUAUGUACAUUAUUUACAUUAUUUACAUUAUUUACAUUAUUUACAUUAUGUUCAUUAUUUACAUUAUUUACAUUAUUUACAUUAUGUACAUUAUUUACUUUUAUUACAUUAUUUACAUUAUGUACAUUAUUUACAUUAUUUACAUUAUUUACAUUAUUUACAUUAUGUACAUUAUGUACAUUAUUUACAUUAUUAACAUUAUUCACAUUAUUUACAUUAUGUACAUUAUUUACAUUAUUUACAUUAUUUACAUUAUUCACAUUAUGUACAUUAUUUAUAUUAUUUACAUUAUUUACAUUAUGUACAUUAUUUACAUUAUUUUCAUUAUUUACAUUAUAAACAUUAUUUACAUUAUGUACAUUAUUUACAUUAUUUCCAUUAUUUACUUUAUUUACAUUAUUUACAUUAUGUACAUUAUUUACAUUAUUUACAUUAUUUACAUUAUUUACAUUAUGUACAUUAUUUACAUUAUUUACAUUAUUUACAUUAUUUACAUUAUUUACAUUAUUUACAUUAUUUACAUUAUGUACAUUAUUUACAUUAUUUAUAUUAUUUACAUUAUUUACAUUAUUUACAUUAUGUACAUUAUUUACAUUAUUUACAUUAUGUACAUUAUUUACAUUAUUUACAUUAUUUACAUUAUUUACAUUAUUUACAUUAUUUACAUUAUGUACAUUAUUUACAUUAUUUACAUUAUUUACAUUAUUUACAUUAUGUACAUUAUUUACAUUAUUUACAUUAUUUACAUUAUGUACAUUAUUUUCAUUAUUUACAUUAUUUACAUUAUGUACAUUAUUUACAUUAUUUAUAUUAUUUACAUUAUUUACAUUAUUUACAUUAUGUACAUUCUUUACAUUAUUUACAUUAUGUACAUUAUUUACAUUAUUUACAUUCAACGGUUAUUUGUCCCCAUCUUGUUUGUUGUUGAAACAACGUUUCAGUUCGUAUACCCUCCAGCCUUCAUCAGGUGUCUUUGGAAAAUUUCGAACCUGGGUUCUCAUUCCUAAGGUAACUUUCGUCGUUGUCGUCGUCGUUGUUGUUGUUUGUUUGUUGUUUGUUGUUUGUUGUUGUUGUUGUUGUUCUUGUUGUUGUUGUUCUUGUUUUUCAGGUCACUGCCUGGAAUCAAACUCGGAAUUUUGGGGUUAGUUGCCUGCGCUCUUAACCACUACGCCAUAUUCCAAGUUCUAUUCCAGGCAGAGACCUGAAUAAUAAUAAUAAUAAUAAUAAUAAUAAUAAUAAUAAUAAUAAUAAUAAUAAUAAUGAUAAUAAUGAUAUCGAAAAAUACCUUAGGAAUGAGAACCCAGGUCUGAAAUUUCCGCAAGACACCUGAAGAAGGCUGGAGGGUAUAUCUGCCAAAACGUUGUGUUAACAACAAACAAGAUGAGGACAAAUAUCUGUCAAUUGUAAAUAAUGUAAAUAAUGUACAUAAUUCCUCAUCUCUUAAAUAUAGAACUAUCUAGUUGUUGUUGUUGUUGUUUAUAAUGAUGAUGAUAUUUUUGUUGUCCUUCGUUGUCAUCUUCUUUUUCCUCCAUUUCCUCCUCUUCCUUUUUCUUUGAUUAAUCAAUAAGACAAUGUUUUCUUGGUUUACCUCUACCACUAAUUACCAAUUCUUUGAUUUACCUUCUUCACAAUUACUUUCCACCAUCACCACCACCAAUUAACGAAUCUUUAAUCCACCCCCACCUCAGCUACAAACCAUCAAUUACCAAGUCUUUGAUUUACCUUCAUCUCAGUUACCUAGCAACACCAUCAUCACUAAUUGCUAAGUCUUUGGUAUGCCUCCACCACUACUAUUGGGUUGUCCGGAAAGUUCAUGCCGAUUUUUAAAGGAAAUAAAAAGGUCAAUAAAUACUUGCCAUUACAUUUUUAAUCAGCCAAAUAUGAACCAUUUUGUUGCACAAUGUGUCUCCAUCUUUCCUUUAAUUUGAAAAUACCUUCUUCCCCGAAUCGAGGUGGUUUCAUGACAAAGAAUUCAUCAAGGUAUCUUUUUACGUCAUCCAAGGAAUUGAAAUGUUUACCAUUUAGACUAUUCUACAGAGAACUGAAUAAGUGGAAAUCCGAAGGAGCAAUAUCUGGUGAAUAUGGAGGGUAGGGUAACACAUCCCAGCCAAGCUGCAGCAAUUUUUGUCUGGUUCUCAAAGCAUCAAGUGCCGAAAAUGAACUUUCUUAUCUUCCAUUUUAAAGGGUUACAGAAUUAACACAGGUUAUAGGAACAUAAACCUUCUUCCACGAAAAGAUAGCUUAAAUUGUGCUCUAAAUGGAGGUGUAGUCAAAUCCUAUUUUAUGGACUCAACCAUGUUCUAAAAUAAGUCGAAAGGUAAGCCACUAUAAAUCGGCACGAACUUUCCAGACCACCAAAUACAUUGCACCCCCUCCCUAUCAUAGUUACCUUCUAUCACCACAAACUACUAAAUCCUUUGUCUAUGUCCACUAGUUUCUCACCUUCCUAAUACCUCCUCAGUGUUCUAGGUCUACUUAUACUCUUUUACUCUUUUACUUGUUUCAGUCAUUUGACUGUGGCCAUGCUGGAGCACCACCUUUUUAGUUGAACAAAGUGAUCCCAGGAUUUAUUCUUUGUAAGCCUAGUACCUAUUCUAUCGGUCUCUUUUGCCGAACCGCUAAGAUACAGGGAUGAAAACAGACCAACAUAGGUUGUCAAGCGAUGUUGGGGGAACAAACACAGACACACAAACAUAUACAUACACACAUACAUAUAUUUAUUUAUAUAUAUAUACUUUGAUACUUUGAUAGGUUUCGGCCAUUAUUGGCCCAGGCCAUGUCUAACUUAAUAGCACCACCUGGUGAAGUCUUUCAAGUCAGAAUAUAUAUAUAUAUAUAUAUACGAUGGGCUUCUUUCAGUUUCCGUCUACCAAAUCCACUCACAUGGCUUCGAUCAGCCCGAGGCUAUAGUAGAAGACACUUACCCAAGGUGCCAUGCAGUGGGACUGAACCCGGAACCAUGUGGUUUGUAAGCAAGCUACUUACCACACAGCCACUCCUACACCCAUAAUAUUAUUAUUAAAAUAAAUUUUCCUGGACUUGUGUAAGAAGGUGGAUGCAAUACUCAUCAUCUUCUCAGACUCUCCAAGGCUGGUGAGAGUCACAUGGUUGAUGUUGGUUUGCGUCUUUGUAAACGGACAUGUACAGGGAAAAUAUAAGAAAGAAUUCCAUAAAGUCAAAGCUGUGGGCAGAAAAUGUUGGAUGUGUUGGUUAAUGUAAGGCCCACAGUUUAUUCUUUUAUUCUUAUAUUUGUUUGUCAUUUGACUGCAGCCAUGCUGGAGCACUGCCUUUAGUUGAACAAAUCAACGCUAGGACUUACUCUUUGUAAGCCUAGCACUUAUUCUACUGGUCUCUUUUGCCAAAACACACCAGCCUUGGUUGUCAAGUGAUGGUGACAGGGACAAACACAGACACACACACAGAGUCAAAUAUACAAGAAGUAAGGCCUUCUGGUAUACUUGACUGAUGAAAGAAAGAAGGCCACGAAUGGCCCUUUUUUUUUUGCCUGUCCUUCUAAUUGUCAUUUCUCAUGUCUGCCUUUGUAUCGUCUACCUGUCCGAAUGUUUUAUUGUCCUCUGUUGCAUUUUUGUUCCAUUUUUUAUAUUCAUAAAAUAAGGAUAAAAAUCACGUUCAUGAUAAUUAUCAGGUAGUCAGCAUGGAAUAAAGCAAUAUAUAUAUAUAUAAAUUAUUAUAAUUAUAAACAUAACUAUAAUUAGGGCUUAGCAAAAUUGCUUCAUCACAUACCAAACUACUUGGUAAGAUUAUUAAUUAUAAAUUGAUUAAUUAAUUUUACCCUUUAUUAUUAUUGAUUUUAUAUAUGUAUAUAUAUAUAUAUAUAUAUAUAAUGAGCUUCUUUCAGUUUCUAUCUACCAAAUCCACUAACAAGGUCUUGGUCGGCCUGAAGCUAUAGUAGAAGUUUGGUGAUAAAAGAGGGAAGAACAAGUGUGUUUGUUGGUAUUUGGCUUUAGUUGAUGGGCAACUAACUAGUCCUGAGUCUGUUAUAGUAAUAGCAAUAUACUAUAAUAAAGUGAAGACAGCAAGCUUGCAGAAUCAUCAGCAUGCCAGUCAAAAUGCUUAGAUACAUUCUGUCCAUCUUUACAUUCUGAGUUCAAAUUCUGCCGUGGUUGACUUUGCUGCUCAUCCCUUUGGUGUGGUCGAUAAAAUGAGUUCUAGUCAAACAUUGGAGUUAAUGUAAUUGACUUACUACUUAACCUAAAAUUGCUGGCCUUGUAUCAAAAUUUGAAACCAGUGUAAUAAUGAAAGUGAAGAAACCACUCUGCUGUUGACCAGAGGUUGCAUUAUCAUCAUCAUCGUCAUCAUAAUUAUCAUUUAACUAGCACUAUGACCUGGCAGCACCAGUACACGCGAGUACUGUCCAAAUCUCUGACCAAUCACAUACAGCUAGCUGGCAUUCAAUUGGCGUAUCAAGUUUUGGGCAUUUUGAUUGGGUUUUGGAUAGAAAAUUCACAAAAAAGUCACUUCUAUUGAUUUUUUUAAAGCCUUUGCGGGGUGACUGGGGAAAUGUAAAGUGGUGCACGACCACCCUUGGACGGUUUUAAAUAACCAUAGAAAAUGCAAGCCCUUUAACUGAAAAAUUGUGGAUUUGUAUAAAGGAUACACACACAGACAGACAUUUUGCCAUUUAUAUAUAUAGAGAUGUCCAUUUUUCCAAGCUGGUAUAGGUUGGAGAGUUGGACUGUUCAACAAGAACUGACAAACUAGAGGGUUGCACCAGCUCCAGUGUUUGCAUGGCAUGGCUUCUAUAUCUGGAUGCUCUUCCUAACACCAGCCACUUUACAAAAUGUAUUAGAUGGUUUUUUUUGUGUGGCUCCAGCACUAGUGAGCUCCCCAAGUACUCACAAGACAAGAACUCCUCAACUGAAUGGCUUAUAAUCUCCUAAUAUAAUAAUGAGCAUAUAUAUAUAUAUAUAUAUAUAUACAUUUGUCCAGAAUCGUGCCAGAUGUGGAGAAGGAGAGAAAAUAGUAAUUCAGUGAAGGAGAAGUAGUGAGAGUAAUAGCCCUGACUGAGAGGGAGUGAGAGAAAGUAAUAGCAAUGAGAGAAAGGAAGGGGUGAUAGAUGAAUAAGGAAGAAAGGAGUGAAAAAAAAUCAGCAUUUCAACUCUGUGUGAGCAUAUGUGUGUAGAUGUGUGAUGUGCACAAGGGAAGUAUGUGAAUGUUUGUAUGUGUGAUUAUUAUGUACCUUAUUUUGUACCUUUAUAAAUAAAAUACUAUAAUUAGUUGCCAUUAUUGAUGGCACGUUAUCAGCUAGUACCAAAUAGUGAUUCACUGUUAUGUGAAUAAUUGUUUAUCAAUUAGUAUAAUGGCUUUCUUUUGGACUAUCCAUAAUAUGGGAGUAGUAUUUCAUUAGGGAUCUUACUUGUUCCUUGUAGGGAGUCAGUGUCUGAUUAGUGCUGAAGUCUUUUUUUAACCCCUGAAGAGAUAGCUUUGGAACAUAAUAAACUAACAUCAAUGUUGUGUUUUGGGGGAUUACCAGGAAAAGUGAUCUGGGAUUAGCUGGUAAGAAAAUCUCUAUAAGAUGAGCACAAAGAGUGCAAAACCAUACAGUUUGGUGGUCUCGUCACUGGAAAAUGGUAGGGGUUCACUCCCCUGCUUGCAAUAUAUACUGGGUGCAGAUUGCAUCAAAUAACCAGCAGGAGGAAGUAUCCUCCUGGGGUUAAAUUGGUAGUAAUUUUGGUUGCUAUGGAACAGCCAUGUUGAAGUGUCAAUAAACAUAACUUCAUCUGAGAUUGUAAGAAUUUUUAGUGACUUUAUGAGGUUUAACUUUUUAACUUCAUAUUAUCCGAGUGUUCUUGUAUUGUCCAAGAGUUAUGAGUUAGAGGUUUGUGCCUUGUGUUAAAAAAAAAUUAUUGUAUUUUUCUGCUGGUGAAAGAGACAAUAUGUUUGUGAUUCCAUGUUGAGAAUAUUUUGAGAUGGUAUUGUCCUAGAGUUAUGAGUUAGAAGUUUGUGUCUUGUGUUAAAAAAAAAUAUUGUAUUGGUGAAAGAGACAAUAUGAUUGUGAUUCCAUGGUGAGAAUAUUUUGAGAACCCUAACCAUUGAGAUGGUAUUGUCCAAGAGUUAUGAGUUAGAAGUUUGUGUCUUGUGUUAACAAAAAAUAUUGUCUAGGUGAAAGAGACAAUAUGCUUGUGAUUCCAUGGUGAGAAUAUUUUGAGAACCCUAACCAUUGAGAUGGUAUUGUCCUAGAGUUAUGAGUUAGAAGUUUGUGUCUUGUGUUAAAAAAAAAUUUUGUGUUGGUGAAAGAAACAAUAUGAUUGUGAUUCCAUGGUGAGAAUAUUUUGAGAACCCUAACCAUUGAGAUGGUAUUGUCCAAUAAUAUUGUAUUGGUGAAAGAGACAAUAUGCUUGUGAUUCCAUGGUGAGAAUAUUUUGAGAACUCUAACCACUAAGAUAGUGAAAGCUUGACAUAAGACUUUAAGGUCUUCAUGUGGAGAUGAUGUUGUUGAAUGGAUUGUCAAGUAAGUUUUGAAGACUAUAAUAUCAUCUUCAUAGGAAGAACCAGUGUUAUAACAGCUUAGCAUGAAGCUUUUCAGUCUGCCUGUAGAAGAUGUUGAUGAGCUGAAUGUCAAGUUAAGACUAAUCCUUUAUCAUCCAGACGACUCAGUCAAAUGUAAUGCUUAUUUAUCUAUGUCGUUUUGAAUUAAUCAUGCAUUAUCUCAAUGCUUUGAGAUUUCAAUGAUGUGAUUGCUUAGUUUUUUAGAAUGACAUUGUUAAGUAUGUGUAAGUGACAGGAUUUGCCCAGUUUGAGUAUAAAAAAGGUAGAAUAGUUUGACCAUAUAUGGCUGGCUUAAAUGCUAAAGCCUGUGAUAGCAUCUUCAUUGAAAAGAUCAUUGUUAUAGCCGACAAUACACGUAUGUCCUCUAUAUAUAUAAAGCUGAAGUUGUCUGUGUAUGGCAGGUUUGGUAGCCUUCAACUAACACUAUCUCCUCCGAGACCCUGUAUUCAGUGUAUGAUAGAAGAAGGCUUGCUCUUCCUUCCGUAGAAGAAAAAAUUCAAAUCGGACCAUGUUAAC
rnacentral:lncRNA from 1 species